UUAAGGUAGAAGAGGUUAGACAGGCUGUUCGCAGAAUGCGAGGGGGUAGGGCGACGGGGCCGGAUGAGAUACCGGUGGAGUUUUGGAAGUUUGUUGGAGAGGCUGGUGUUAGGUGGUUGACUGGAUUGUUUAAUGAAAUCUUCAAGACGGCAAAGAUGCCCGAGGCUUGGAGGUGGAGCACCAUGAUACCUCUCUAUAAGAAUAAGGGGGACAUCCAGAGUUGCAAUAACUAUAGGGGGAUUAAGUUAUUGAGCCACUCUAUGAAGAUCUGGGAGAGAGUGGUCGAGGUGAGGCUGAGACGGAUAGUGUCUAUUUCGGAAAACCAGUUUGGAUUUAUGCCUGGCCGCUCGACGACGGAGGCAAUUCACCUGGUACGGAGGUUGAUGGAACAGUAUAGGGAGAGGAAGAAGGACCUGCACAUGGUUUAUCGACCUGGAGAAGUCCUACGACAAAGUCCCCAGGGAGGUGCUUUGGAGAUGCUUGGAGGUGAGUGGAGUACCGCUGGCAUAUAUCAGAGCAAUUAAGGAUAUGUAUGAUGGAGCGAAAACCCAGGUGACGGCGGGAGGAGACUCAUAGCAUUUCACUGUCCGGACAUGGUUGCAUCAGGGAUCUACUCUUAGACCUUUUUUGUUUGCAUUGGUGAUGGAUGUGUUGACGCGGCGUAUUCAAGGGGAGGUGCCUUGGUGUAUGCUUUUUGCAGACGAUGUAGUUCUGAUAGAUGAGACCCGAGAGGGUGUGAGCUACAAAUUAGAGGUGUGGAGGCAAACCCUUGAGUAUAAAGGGUUCAGGGUGAGCAGAAGCAAGACAGAGUAUGUGGAAUGCAAGUUUAAUGACGUGAGGCGGGAGAAUGAGGUAGGAGUAAAGCUGGAAUCACAGGAGGUAGGUAAGAGGGAGAGUUUCAAGUAUCUCGGGUCCGUGAUCCAGAGUAACGGUGAGAUUGACGAGGAUGUCUCGCACCGUAUUGGGGCGGGAUGGAUGAAGUGGAAGCUCGCGUCGGGGGUGCUGUGUGAUAAGAAGGUGCCGCCCAAGCUUAAAGGCAAAUUCUACAGGGCGGUAGUCCGUCCGGCCAUGUUGUAUGGAGCGGAGUGUUGGCCAGUGAAGAACUCCCACAUCCAAAAGAUGAGGGUGGCAGAAAUGCGGAUGUUGCGCUGGAUGUGUGGGCUGACUAGAGGGGAUAGAGUUCGGAAUGAGAACAUCCGGGAGAAGGUUGGUGUGACACCAGUGGAGUGCAAGAUGCGGGAAGCCCGAUUGAGAUGGUUCGGACACGUGAAGAGGAGGGGCAUGGAUGCCCCGGUCCGUAGGUGUGAGAGGCUAGCGUUGGAUGGGUUUAAGCGGGGUAGGGGUAGGCCGAAGAAGUACUGGGGUGAGGUGAUUAGGCGAGACAUGGAGCAGUUACAGCUCACCGAGGACAUGACCCUAGAUAGGAAGGUCUGGAGGACGCGAAUCAGGGCAGUGGACUAGGGCCAGUCUGAGUUGUCUUGAGCCGAGGGUCUAUCGGAAACAGCCUUUCUACUUCUUCAGAGGUAGAGGUAUGGACUGCGUACAUCUUACCCCCCCAGACCCCACUAGGUGGGAAUACACUGGGUUUGUUGUUGUUGUUGUUGUUGUUGUUAUUUUAUCUCAAAUUUUAUCUUCUCUUUAUUAUUUUCACUUUUUAUUUUUUCCUUUAAUAUUAUUAUUAUAUUUUUUUAUUAUUUUCACUUUUUUUCCUUUAAUUUUAUUAUUCUAUUUUUUAUUAUUUUCACUUUUUAUUUUUUCCAUUAAUUUUAUUUUUAUUUUUUAAUUUAUUUGUCUCAACCUUUAUUUUUUUUCUCUUUUUUCUCAAGCGUUAUCUAUUUAUUUUUUUCCUUUUUUUAAUUCAUUUAUCUUUAGCCUUUAUUUUUCUGUUAUUUUUAUUUUUUAUCAGUUUUUUUCCCCUUAUUUUUCUCAAUUUUUAUUUUUACUUUUCCUCUCAUUUUUUAUUUUCUCAAUUUUUAAAAUUCUUUGCUUUUUUCUUGAUCUUUUUUUUUUUUUGUCUUUUUUUUUCUCACACUUUUUUAUAUAUUUUUCUACUUUGUUUGAUCGCUUUUUUCUUUUUUCAGUUCUCUUUUUUUCCCUCGUUUUUCUGAAACUUUAAUUGUAUUUUCCUCUCAUUUUUAUUUUUCUCAAAUUUUUAAAUUCUUCAUUUUUUUCUUCAUCUUUAUUUUUUUCUCAAUUUUUUUAUUUCUCUAUUUUAUUUGAUUGUUUUUCCCCUUUUUCUCAACUUCUAUUAUAUUUUGCUAAUAAAUAAAAAAUUAGAAAAUCCGCAAAGAUAUCUUCUUUUUUUGACAUCAAAGCAAAUUUAAGGGCAUAAAUUGUUGUUACGAAGUUCUUUAAAAAUUCCUGAGAUAAGUCGUGUCUCUAAGGCGAGAGUUGUAGAAUAUCUCAUACAUAAAGACAUAAUGUGGUAAUGUCAACUCUUGUCCAUAGAGCAUAGUUUAUUAUUUGAAAGUCCUUGAGCUAAGUCUUGCCUCUAAGGCAAGAGUUGUAGAACAUUCCACAAAUGAAGACAUAAUGUGGUAGUGUCAACUCUUGCCCGUGGGGCAUAAUUUGUAGUUUGAAAGUCUUUGAGCUAAGUCUUGCCUCUAAGGCAAGAGUUGUAGAACAUCUCAUAAAUGAAGACAUAAUGUGGUAGUGUCAACUCUUGCCCUUGAGCAUAAUUUAUAGUUUGAAAGUCCUUGAUCUAAGUCUUGCCUCUAAGACAAUAGUUGUAGAACAUCUCAUAAAUGAAAACAUGACGUGAUAGAGUCAACUCUUGCCCAUGGGACAUAAUUUGAAGUUUGAAAGUCCUUGAGCUAAUUAAGUCUUGUCUCUAAGACAAUAGUUGUAGAACAUCUCAUAAAUGAAAAUAUAACGUGGUAGUGUCAACUCUUGCCCGUGGACAUAAUUUGUAGUUUGAAAGUCCUCGAGCUAAGUCUUGCCUCUAAGGCAAUAGUUGUAGAACAUCUCAUAAAUGGAAACUUAACGUGACAGAGACAACUCUUGCCCAUGGGGCAUAAUUUAUAGUUUGAAAGUCAUUGAGCUAAUUAAGUCUUGCCUCUAAGGCAAUAUAUAAUUGUAGAACAUCUCAUAAAUGAAAACAUAACGUGGUAAAGUCAACUCUUGCCCGUAAAGCAUAAUUUGUAGUUUGAAAGUCUUUGAGCCAAGUUUUGCCUCUAAGACAAAAGUUGCAGAACAUUUCAUAAAUAAAAAUAUAACGUGGUAGAGUUAACUCUUGCCCAUGUAGCAUAAUUUGUUGUUUGAAAGUCCUUGAGUCAAGUCUUGCCUCUCAUAAAUGAAAAUAUAAUGUGGUAGAGUCAACUCUUGCUCGUGGGGCAUAAUUUGUUGUUUGAAAAUCCUUGAGCUAAGUCUUGCCUCUAAGGCAAUAGUUGUAGAAUAUCUCAUAAAUGAAAGUAUAACGUGGCAGUGUCAACUCUUGCCUGUGGGCAUAAUAUGUUGUUUGAAAGUCCCUGAGCAAAGUCUUGCUUCCAAGGCAAUAGUUGUAGAAUAUCUCAUAAAUGAAAACAUAAUAUGGUAGAGUCAACUCUUACCCGUGGGGUAUAAUUUGUUGUUUGAAAGUCCCCGAGCUAAGUCUUUCCUCUAAGGUAAGAGUUAUAAAACAUCUCAUAAAUCAAAAUACAAUGUGGUAGUAUCGACUUUUGUCCAUGAAACAUAACUUGUUGUUUGAAAGUCAUUAGUAUGGGUGUCAAACGGGCCAAUUUUAACUGGCCCGAAUCGGCCCACAUAAUAAAUCGGCCCAAUUUGACCCGGCCCAGUAAGCCCAAGGGUUUUAGGAUUUUAGGUCUCGGGCCAUUUAUUUUUUUAAUUUGGCCCCGGUUAAUCCGGCCCGGUUGCCUUUUUUAGAAAAAAAAAUUAUUUUGGGCCAAACUAGCCCUUGGCCCAACGGCUAUAUAGCCGUUUUUGGAUCCAAACGGCUAGUUUGGGCCCAUUUAUUAAAAAAAAUAAAAUUUUUACAUUAUAAAUUAUUUUUUAAUCCCCCAAAAAAAUCUAUAAAUACCCUACAACUUCAAAUCAUUUUCCACACAAUUUUUCACUCUCUCAAAUCUCAGUUCUCAAUUCUCAAAUAUUCAAUAUAUUUAAUUUCUUAAAGUGUUCACUUUAAUUUUUUUAUUUUUCGUUUACAAAGUACGAGCGGAUNNNNNNNNNNNNNNNNNNNNNNNNNNNNNNNNNNNNNNNNNNNNNNNNNNNNNNNNNNNNNNNNNNNNNNNNNNNNNNNNNNNNNNNNNNNNNNNNNNNNNNNNNNNNNNNNNNNNNNNNNNNNNNNNNNNNNNNNNNNNNNNNNNNNNNNNNNNNNNNNNNNNNNNNNNNNNNNNNNNNNNNNNNNNNNNNNNNNNNNNNNNNNNNNNNNNNNNNNNNNNNNNNNNNNNNNNNNNNNNNNNNNNNNNNNNNNNNNNNNNNNNNNNNNNNNNNNNNNNNNNNNNNNNNNNNNNNNNNNNNNNNNNNNNNNNNNNNNNNNNNNNNNNNNNNNNNNNNNNNNNNNNNNNNNNNNNNNNNNNNNNNNNNNNNNNNNNNNNNNNNNNNNNNNNNNNNNNNNNNNNNNNNNNNNNNNNNNNNNNNNNNNNNNNNNNNNNNNNNNNNNNNNNNNNNNNNNNNNNNNNNNNNNNNNNNNNNNNNNNNNNNNNNNNNNNNNNNNNNNNNNNNNNNNNNNNNNNNNNNNNNNNNNNNNNNNNNNNNNNNNNNNNNNNNNNNNNNNNNNNNNNNNNNNNNNNNNNNNNNNNNNNNNNNNNNNNAGUGUAUAUUUAGCGUAUACAUGUGUAUAUGUUUUAUAAAUUAGUAUAUAACUAUAUCUAUAUAUAUUGUAAUGUAUAUAUAUUGUAGUAUAUUUUAUAAGUAGUAGUAUAUAUACAUUGAAUAGUGCAUAUAUAUGAGUAAAUAUCUUCUAUAGAAGUGUAUAUUUAACGUAUACAUGUGUAUAUGUUUUAUAAAUUAGUAUAUAACUAUAUCUAUAUAUAUUGUAAUGUAUAUAUAUUGUAGUAUAUUUUACAAGUACUAGUAUACAUACAUUGAAUGAUGCGUAUAUAUGAGUAUAUAUCUUCUAUAGAAGUGUAUAUUUGACGUAUACAUGUGUAUAUAUUUUAUAAAUUAUUAUAUAACUAUAUCUAUAUAUAUUGUAAUGUAUAUAUAAUGUAGUAUAUUUUAUAAGUAGUAGUAUAUAUACAUUGAAUGAUGCGUAUAUAUGAGUAAUUGACUAAUUGUGUAUAUGUGUAUAUAUUUUUUAAAUUCUAAUGUAGUAUAUACUAUAUCUAUAGUGUAUAUAUAUUAUUUAACGUAUUGAUAAAGUAUAUAGGUGGGUAUAUGACUAUAUGUAAUGUAUAUUGAAAGAAAGUUUUUUUCUAUAUUUACCGGGUUUGACCAUUUUUUUAACCGGGUUUGAUUGGAUUUUGGUGGGUUUGACCCAGUUGGGUUAAGUGGGCCAAGUUCGGGUGGGCUAUAAUUUUUUUACUGUUGGGCCCGGCCCGGCCCGACUGGCACCAAACCCAGCCCUUAACCUGCCCUCAACCCGAUUAAAGUAGAAGGGCUGGUUUCGGGUUGGCCCGACCCAACCCGUUUGACAAUCCUAGUCAUAAGUCUUACCUCUACAAUGCAGUUGUGUCAACUCUUACCCAUGAAACGUAGCUUAUUGUUCGAAACUCGUAAAUCUUGCCUUUAUAAUGUAAUAGUGUCAACUCUUGCUCACAAGAUAUAACUUGAAUGGAAGAAAUCGAAGAAAAGAACAAAAAUAACAAAAAUUCUGGAAAAAGAAGAAAAUGAAGAAAAAUAUAAAAAAACAAAAAUAAAAAAAAAUAUAGAAGUUGAGAGAGAAUGGGGAAAAAAUAAAGGUUGAUAAAAAUAAAAAUAAAAAGAUGAAAUAAAAAUAAGGGUCGAGAAAAAUUUUAAAAGAAAAAUAUGAAGGAAAAAUAAAAUAAGUUUUUUAUUUUAAUAAAAGUAGAUGUUGAAAGGUGUAAAGAAAAAAAAGUAAGUGUUGGGAAAAACUAAAAAGAAUAAAAAAAAAGAGGAAAGAAAAAAUCAAAAAUAAAAAUAAUAUAAAAGAAAAAAGAAAAAAGAAAAAAAGAAAAAAAAUUGAGAGGAAAAAAGGAAAAAAGUAAGGGUUGAGAAAAAGAAAAAAAAUCAAAGUAAAAUUAAAAAAAGAAAAAAAAUAAAAGUUAAAAAAUAUAAAUAUGAAGUUGUUAUCCAUUAUGUGGAUCAUUUAUGUAAUUGCUCCAUUGAUGAGGGGCAAUUUUAUUUAAAGGAAUAUUAGUUAAUAUGUAAAAACUAUUUUAAGAAAAAAAAUUUAUUUGGAGCUAAAAUUUAAAAGUCACUUCAAUUUGGGUCUAUUUUUUUGAAUCACCCGAAUUCAUGGGCUUGAUUAAUGAACCAAUGAAUAUUUGGGUCGUUUCACGGGUCUGGAACGACAAACUAAAUGUACACCCAAUACUGGUUAGCGGGACAAAUUAAAUGGCCUGUUCAAAUGAGAUAUUGGGUUGAAAUUGAAUCCAAUAAAUUUUCAAUUUCAUGUAUUUUCGAUUCGAAACUCUUAGUCAAGUGUCAGGUUAUUAUUGUUAUUAUUUUUUUUUUUGGUAAAGGUCAGAUUAUUUUUGGUUAUAGGUUCAAGAGGAAGGAGAAGAACCCUCAUCCAAUGGUAUAUUUUUUUCAUUUACCGCUUCAAUAAUCUCUGAUAGUUAUAUUUGACAAAGAUUAAAAGUUUUUUAUUUUUUGAUAAAUCUUAAAAUUAUUUUUUUAUGAAUAUAUUUAGGGAGUAUUUGAACUUACCCAAAAAUAAGACACCAUUUUUUUUUUUGACGUUUUCUUCUUUUCUAUAUUAUAGAAGAGCUGGUUUCGACCAGCUCUUUAUUAUUUACCAUUUUAUUUUUAAUUGCUUCGUAAUUUAUUAUAUUAUUUUUAAUUAAUUAUUAUAAUUAAUUUAUAUAUUAGAAUUAAUAAUAUUUUUUAUUAUAUUAUACCUAAUUAAUUAUUAUAAAUCAUUUAUAGAUUAGAAUUAAUAAUAUUUAAUUAAAAAAGUAGAUAUUUAUGACGUUUGUUUCAAUUGCUUUAACCGUAAUUUUACUAUAUCAUCCUAAUUAAUUAUUAUAAGUCAUUUAUGUAUUAAAAAAUUAAUAAUAUUUAAUUAAAAAAUAGAUGUCAUGUCUGCCUAUAUUAUCCCUAAUUUCUCCGUGAUUUAUUAUAUCACCUCUAAUUAAUCAUUAAAACUCAUUUAUAUUUUAGAAUUAAUAAUUUUUUUUACUAUAUUACCCUAAUUAAUUAUUAUAAGUCAUUUAUAUAUUAGAAUUAAUAAUAUUUAAUUAAAAAAUAGAUAUUUAUGACGUUUGUUUCAGCUGCUUUAACCGUGAUUUUACUAUAUCAUCCCUAAUUAAUUAUUAUAAGUCAUUUAUGUAUUAAAAAAUUAAUAAUAUUUAAUUGAAAAAAAUAGAUGAUAUGUCUGCCUAUGGUUUCGACCAACGCUUCAUCAAUUACUAUAUUACCCCUAAUUGCUUCGUGAAUUACUAUAUCACCCCUAAUUAAUUAUUAUAAGUCAUUUAUGUAUUAAAAAAUUAAUAAUAUUUAAUUNNNNNNNNNNNNNNNNNNNNNNNNNNNNNNNNNNNNNNNNNNNNNNNNNNNNNNNNNNNNNNNNNNNNNNNNNNNNNNNNNNNNNNNNNNNNNNNNNNNNNNNNNNNNNNNNNNNNNNNNNNNNNNNNNNNNNNNNNNNNNNNNNNNNNNNNNNNNNNNNNNNNNNNNNNNNNNAUUAUUAUAAGUCAUUUUACUAUAUUACCUCUAAUUGCUCCAUAAUUUAUUAUAUUACCCCUAAUUAAUUAUUAUAAGUCAUUUAUAUAUUAUAAUUAAUAAUAUUUUUUAUUAGUCAUUUAUGUAUUAAAAAAUUCAUAAUAUUUAAUUAAAAUAUUGAUUUCGACAUGGCUGCUUCAAGAGCUACACCGUGAUUUCACUAUAUUGCCCCUAAUUGAUUACUAUAAGUCAUUUAUGUAUUAAAAAUUAAUAGUAUUUAAUUUAAACAAGAAAAAUAUGCAUUUAUGACAUAUUUGUUGCAGCUGUUUCAACCAUAAUCAUCUUUGAGAAGAUGAUCCAAGACUUUAUUGUUAAUUGAAGUAUCUUUUGUUUCAGUUUUUGUAUGAAAUAAUCCUAUGAAUAUUAGUUCUACGUCUUUUUUAUAUUUUGUAACAGUUCUCAAUCUUAUCAUCAAACAAUUAAAAUAACUUGACUGCACGACACAUCACACUUUCUUAUCAUUUUAAAUCAAUCUACAUUUAUGUUUGUAUUUCAUGAAUAUCAAAUAUUAGUGCUAAAAGAUGUCUAUAGUAUUGGGUCUGUGCUGACACGGGUCAUGCACCUCUAGUGAGGUGGUUUCGACCACCUUUUCAUUUACUAUACUACCCCCAAUCAUUUACUAUAUUACAUCCUAAUUGCUCCAUAAUUUACUAUAUUAUCCCUAAUUAAUUAUUACAAGUCAUUUCCUAUAAAUAUGUAAGCCAUUCGGCAAGGUAGAGGCAAGUCUUCAUGUGUUGAAGCAAAAAGCCCUUCUUUGUAAAUAUUAGAAUUUAUAAUAUUUAAUUAAAAAAAAUAGAUAUUUGUAGCUUUUGUUUCAGCUGCUUUAACCGUGAUUUUACUAUAUCAUUCCUAAUUAAUUAUUAUAAGUCAUUUAUGUAUUAAAAAAUUAAUAAUAUUUAAUUCAANNNNNNNNNNNNNNNNNNNNNNNNNNNNNNNNNNNNNNNNNNNNNNNNNNNNNNNNNNNNNNNNNNNNNNNNNNNNNNNNNNNNNNNNNNNNNNNNNNNNNNNNNNNNNNNNNNNNNNNNNNNNNNNNNNNNNNNNNNNNNNNNNNNNNNNNNNNNNNNNNNNNNNNNNNNNNNNNNNNNNNNNNNNNNNNNNNNNNNNNNNNNNNNNNNNNNNNNNNNNNNNNNNNNNNNNNNNNNNNNNNNNNNNNNNNNNNNNNNNNNNNNNNNNNNNNNNNNNNNNNNNNNNNNNNNNNNNNNNNNNNNNNNNNNNNNNNNNNNNNNNNNNNNNNNNNNNNNNNNNNNNNNNNNNNNNNNNNNNNNNNNNNNNNNNNNNNNNNNNNNNNNNNNNNNNNNNNNNNNNNNNNNNNNNNNNNNNNNNNNNNNNNNNNNNNNNNNNNNNNNNNNNNNNNNNNNNNNNNNNNNNNNNNNNNNNNNNNNNNNNNNNNNNNNNNNNNNNNNNNNNNNNNNNNNNNNNNNNNNNNNNNNNNNNNNNNNNNNNNNNNNNNNNNNNNNNNNNNNNNNNNNNNNNNNNNNNNNNNNNNNNNNNNNNNNNNNNNNNNNNNNNNNNNNNNNNNNNNNNNNNNNNNNNNNNNNNNNNNNNNNNNNNNNNNNNNNNNNNNNNNNNNNNNNNNNNNNNNNNNNNNNNNNNNNNNNNNNNNNNNNNNNNNNNNNNNNNNNNNNNNNNNNNNNNNNNNNNNNNNNNNNNNNNNNNNNNNNNNNNNNNNNNNNNNNNNNNNNNNNNNNNNNNNNNNNNNNNCUUUAACUGUGAUUUUACUAUAUCAUCCCUAAUUAAUUAUUAUAAGUCAUUUAUAUUUUAAAAAAUUAAUAAUAUUUAAUUAAAAAUAGAUGACAUGUCUGUCUAUAUUACCCCUAAUUGCUCCAUGAUGUACUAUAUUAUCCUUAAUUAUUUAUUAUAAGUCAUUUAUAUAUUAGAAUUAAUAAUAUUUUUUUACUAUAUUACCCUUAAUUAAUUAUUCUAAGUCAUUUAUAUAUUAGAAUUAAUGAUAUUUAAUUUUAAAAAUAGAUAUUUAUACGUUUGUUUCAGCUGCUUUAACCGUGAUUUUACUAUAUCCUCCCUAAUUAAUUAUUAUAAGUCAUUUAUUUAUUAAAACACUAAUAACAUUUAAUUAAAAAAUAGAUGACAUGUCUGCCUAUAUUACCCCUAAUUGUUUCGUGAUUUACUAUAUUACCCCUAAUUAAUUAUUAUAAUUCAUUUAUAUAUUAGAAUUAAUAAUAUUUUUUUUACUAUAUUACCCCUAAUUAAUUAUUGUAAGUCAUUUAUUUAUUAGAAUCAAUAAUAUUUAAUUAAAUCAAUAUACAUUUAUGUUUAUAUAUUUCAUCAAUAUCGAAUUUUAAUGCUAAAAAAUAUUUAUUGUCUUGGGCUCGUACUGACACGGGCUAUGCACCUCUAAUUUUAAAAUAAAGUUAUUUGAAUAAGUGACGCUUGUUUAAGUGGUUCAACACCUCAAUCAUCUAAUGAUAAGUUGAGGGUUCGAGUCACGUUGAAAAGUAGGUGGAAACACAAAUUAUUCUCCUGACAGGUAGAGUGAGAAAAAAAAUAAAAAAUAAAACUAUAUGCAAUUACUUUUUACGUGAUUUAGUUACUUAAACAUUUUUAUAUUGCUAGUUUAGCUGCACGUACCUCGCACGUGUAAUUUUUUAUUAUUUAAAAUUAAACGAUUUUAUCUAUCACGAGUUUUUUAAUGAAGUACAAAAAGUUUAAAACAAAUAUUUUAUCGUAAGCACAUAUAUAUAUGAGAAAAAUAAUUACAUUGUUAGAUUCGAACAUAUGAGAAUAUCAAACCUAGAAAUCAAAAUUCACGAACAAAACAGAUGUACUAAUGCAUGGUGUGUUAAAUUUAAAAUCACUCUCUAAGCUAAAGGAAAAAUAAUAAGUCACGACAACCAAUAGAAAAGGAAAAACAACUCAAAAAAGAGUGAGAGAGAAUAACAUACUAAUCUAGCGGAUGAAAAUUACAAUGGUUGAAGAAAACACAAAAUACAAGCGUGGGACGGGACAAUAUAUAUUAAUAUAAAAAUAUGUUGAAAAUUAAACCUAGUCCUAAUUUAAGAAAAGAAACUUACCAUAUUUUAAAGUCCUAAUCCAUUACCAUAUUUUAAAAUCCUAACCCAUAUAUUCUAGGAUUCAAAAUUAUCUAUAUAAUUAAAUAAUAAUUGGAGAAAAAAAAGUGAAAAGACGAUUUUAUCUAUUGUAAAGUGUUUUAAUGAAGGGCAAAAAGUUCAAAUUACAGGUCUUCACACUUUUAAUAUAUUAUAGAUUAGUGCAUUGGAUUUAAACUCGUACACUAAAAGUGGCUAAUUAUGUAAAAGGACUUCUUGUUUUUUGUUUGACGAAUAUUAAAAGUGUUCACUUUUACCAUUUAGAGAAUUAUAACCGCCCAUGAAUCUAUCUUGGGGACCAUUUGAAGCUAAACAAACAUAAGAGACCAUUUUUUUUUGUUUUCUUCCUUUUUAAUAAUAUAAAUACAACCUAAUUGAGUAAAUGAUAUUAAUAUUCCCAGAUUGUUAUUGAUUAUAUUGCUAGAUAUCGAUGGUCCGUGUUAGCAUGGGCCCAAUAUAUAUUACUUUUUAUCUCAAUUUAUGUAAUAUAAAUAAAAUUUACAUAAUCAAUCGUCAGAAUAGUUUAAGUUCUUAAUUAUUGUAAUUUAUAAUACUCUUUCUUCUAUUCCAAUUUAAGUAAUACUGAGAUAAUUUCGACAGUUAGUCAAAUAUUUUGUAUUUUUUUAUUUUUUUUAAGUUGCUAAUUAUGCUAUUUAUAAUUUUUCAAUAAGAUAUGAAUACUCUUCCCGUCCCAUUUUAUGUUGCAUCGAUAUAACUUCGACCUUCAAUCAAAUUUUUAUAUAUAUACUCCUAAUUAAUAAUUAUGGUCAUUUAAGCAUUAAAAAACUAAUAAUAACAACAACAACAAACCCAAUGUAUUCCCACAUAGUGGGGUCUGGAGGGUAAGAUGUACGCAGUCCAUACCACUAUCUCCGGAGAAGUAGAAAGACUGUUUCCGAUAGACCCACGGCUCAAGACAAGGAAUAAUAAUCAAAUCCGUAAUAAAGCAUGUAACAAGAUGACAAAACAUAAAUACAUCACCCACAAGGAAUAAUAAACAAAGAAUAAUCAACAAAUUCGUAAUAAAGCAUGCAACAAGGUGACAUAACAAGAAUAAUACACCGACCAAGUAAUGUCCUACCCCAACGACCCAAGCUGGUACUAGCUUUCUAUCCUAAUUUGCGUCCUCCAGAUCUUCUUAUCUAGGGUCAUGUCCUCAGUGAGCUGUAACUGUUCCAUGUCCCACCUAAUCACCUCUCUCCAAUAUUUCUUCGGCCUACCCCUAGCCGCCUGAAACCAUCCAACGCUAGCCUCUCACACCUACGAACCGAAGCAUCCGUGCCCCUCCUCAUCACGUGGCCGAACCAUCUCAAUCGCACGUCCCACAUCUUUUCCUCCACCGAAGCCACUCCGACCUUUUCCCGAAUAGUCUCAUUCUGAACUCUAUCACCUUAGUAAAAUCACACAUCCAACGCAACAUCUGCAUUUCUACCACCUUCAAUUUUUGAAUGUGAGAGUUCUUGACUGGCCAACACUCCGUUCAAUACAACAUGGUCGGACGAACAGAAUCAACAAAAUAUUGACAAGACACAUCUCAAUAUGCCAGAAAAUAACAGAUUCAAAACAGUAUAGUUGGGUUAUUUGGAAAAACAUAAAAAGAACAAGGGAACUAUCAGUAUCGAUAAAUUGCUUUCAUAUCACACAUAUCCUCUAAAUCAUAGAACCGCAUAUAUACAACACUAUCUAAUUACACAAGUUAUGUAAUAAUGAAUUAUGUUUAUCCUCACAAAAGUAAAAUCUUAUUAGAUAUUUUUCUUUCAUUUCUUUUUAUUUGGUAAGAAAUUAUUUAUUUAAAAUUUAUUUUACUAAAUUAAUUUUAUUAAGUAUAUUUUAAAAUUUAAAUUUGAUUAUUAGUAUCAACAAUAAGAAUUUUUCUUAAUUUACUAAAUAAACAAUUAAAAAAGAAAAUUUUAUUUUUAAUAUAAAAUCUAAAUAAAGAAUAAAAUUUUACUUUUAUUAAGAAUAUUAAUUAUAAUAAACUAUUAUGAAUUAUUAUCUCAUUAAUUUACUUAAGUAUAUUAGGUUUAAAUAAUUUAUAUAGAUCUAAAAUUAAUAAUAAACCAAACAAUUUUGGAAAAUAGAAAUGAAAAUAGAUGAAAUAUUAUAUGAAAAAUAAAUUAACUCUAUUAAGUAUACGUUAAAAUUUAAAUUUUAUUUUAAAUUUGGUUAUUAGUAUUUCAUUUACUUAAAGAUAAAAAUAGGAAUUAUCAAACAAACUAAGAAAUUUUCUUAAUUUACAAAAAUAAAUAAUAAAAAAUUGAUAUAAAAUUUGAAUAAAAAAUAAAAUUUAUUUACUUUUAUCAAGUAUAUUAAUUACUAUGAAAAAUAAUUUCAUUAGUUUACUUAAAUAUAUUAUAUUUAAACAAUUUUUCAUAGAUCUAAUUAAAUACACCAAUCAAAUUUGGAAAAUAUAAAUGAAAAUGUUGUACCCCAUUUAUGGCAAACCAGCAAAGUCAUGUCUCAUCAAGAAUUCCUUUUCCGAAAAAGCUGAACUCACAAAUGUCACUCUUCUCUUUGCUGACAUAGCUAAAGCCUAAAACAAAGAGAUCUUUGGAAAUAUUUUUCAAAAGAAGAAGCAACUCUUAGCUAGGUUGACUGGGAUUCAGAAGUCCCCCUUAGUACCCAACCAGUCCUUUCCUUCAUGAGCUGGAAGGAACCCUUACCAAAGAGUUCAACUACAUCCUAGACCAGGAAAAUAAAUUCUGGAAAUUUAAAUUCAGAAUCAACUGACUCAUUGAUGGAGACAGGAACAUCAAAUUCUUCUAUAACUCCACUCUUAACAAGAGAAGAAGAAACAUGAUUAACUCACUCCAAGAUAAUGACUCUUGGAUCUAUGACUCUGCAGAGUUCACUAGGGCCAUUACCUCUUUCUAUUCUUCCUGCUAUACUUCCGACCACAUUUUCUCCUCCCUUAGGUGCCAGACUAACCCCCCAGUCAGGGAUCCAUCAAUCCUCCAACCACUUCCUCCUUGAUUCCAUGCCUAGCUUUGAGGAGAUCAAGAGAGUUGUGUUCUCCUUUGCUUCUUCCAAAGCCCCAGGGCCGGAUGAGAUGCACCCCUUCAUGUACCAAAAGUACUGUAAUACUAUAGCUCCUCUCUUCUAAGAGUUUUGCAGUUCUACAUUUACCUUUAGGACCAUAGAUUCCAUUGUUAAAACUACUUAGUUGUGCCUAAUCCCUAAGUAUAAGGAUGCAACCAUCUUGAAAAACUUCAGACCUAUUGGUCUUUGUAACACCCACUACAAGAUCAUCAUUAAAAUCAUCACCAAUAGAUUGAAACUCCUUCUCCAAUCUAUAAUUGGGCACAAUAAAAUCAGCUUCAUCUAAAAAAGGAGAGCUUGUGACAAUGCUAUCAUUAUUCAGGAAUAUCUGGAUUACUCCAGGAGGAUGAAAGGUCAUAAGGCCAACAUGAUCCUUAAGAUUGAUCUGGAAAAAACGUUCUAUAGGUUGGAAUGGUCUUUUAUUAGACAAGCCCUAGCCUUCUUUAACUUCCCAUCGGGUUAUCGAAACUCAUCCUCUCCUGUAUUUCUUCCUCCUCAAUCUCGGUGCUAGUUAAUGUGAACAUAACCCCUAACUUUAUUCCUACAAGGGGAAUAAGACAAGGGAACCCUAUGUCUCCAUACCUUUUUAUCUUAUGCAUGGAACUUCUGUCAAGAAGAAUUAACCAUGAAGUCGAUACCUUUCAGUGCUCCCUCAUUUCCAAAAGCAAAAGGGCCCUUCAAAUUUCUCACAUCUUCUUUACUGAUGAUUUAACACUCUUUGCAAGAGCUAAUCAUAACUAUCGCACUAUUAUCAACACCCUGGAGAUUUUCAGCAAACACUCAGGGCAAAGAGUGAAUACCAGCAGAUCCAAAGUGCUCUUCUCCCAGAUUUGUGGUGCUGUCUCUAAGCUCAAUCUAUCCUCCAUCCUUGGCAUCAAAAUAAGUAACUAUUUUGAGAAAUACCUUGGUUUCCCAACUUUCCACACGAAACCCACCCCUGGGGACUUUCAAUUCAUCCUUGAUAACAUGAACUCUAAGCUGGCAGAAUGAAAAACUAAGUACUUCAACAUGACUGGUAGGACUAUUCUGGAUAAAGCUUGUCUGGGUAGCAUACCAAACCAUGUUAUGCAAUACAUCCUUCUUCCCAGUAAAGUUCAUAAGCUAAUUGACAGAUCUCAGAGGAAUUUUAUCUGGAGGUCCACUGACUCUGGGAAAAAGAUGCAUAUGGUCAGAUAGGAUACCGUCACUAAACCCAAAAAGGAGGGAGGGUUAGGGUCCAAAGAGCUAGCAUACAAAAUGACACCCUUCUCAGCAGUCUAGCUUGGAGGUGUACUCUAACCCCUCAACCCUCUGGGUCAGGAUUCUUACCUAUAAAUUCAAGCUCUCCUCUACCAUAAGCUCCUUUGGCACCUCUAGAACAUAAAAAAACCUCCAAAUGGGAUGGGACCUUUGUAGGGAUGCCAUCUGCUGGUCCAUCCACAAUGAUAAUAAAGUUGAUGUUUGGAGGGACUAUUGGAUUCCUAACCUCCCCUCUCCCAGGAGCAUUAUCCAGGGCCCCAUCCCAAACCUUAGCCCUCCCUUAUCUCUCUUUAGUUUCUAGCUUAAUGGUAGCUGGAACCUAGAAGCCUUACCUUUUAAGGUUCCCCUAAUAUUUUUUAUAGCAUAAAAAACACAUUUCCCCAUACCAAAAUAUCCUGAAUGAUUACCCCAUGUGGCUCUUAAGUGGAUCUGGAUUGUUCUCUUGCAAGAGCGUCUAUAACCAUAUCUAUAGCAAUAGAACCAAUCAUAUCUUAAGUGGAUCCGGAUUUGUGCAUGGCAUGAUGUGUAAUUAAAUAAAAAAAGAGGGGUAUUUUUCAAAGUUUUUGACAAAGUCCAAACAAUAAAAAGUAAAAGACAACUUUUCUAAGCAAGAUGAUUUUGCAAAGAGACUUUAAUGCCCUCAAAUUGAUUUUCAAAAGUCAUGCAUCCCGCCAUAUUUUUCAAUGGAGAUCUGUGCAUGGCAUGACAUGAUGUGUAAUUAAAUAAAAAAAGAUGGGUAUUUUACAAAGCUUUUGAUAAAUCCCAAACAAUAAAAAGUAAAAAACAAAUUUUCUAAGCAAACUAAUUUUGCGAAAAGACUUUAAUGCCCUCAAAUUAAUUUUUGAUGUCACUAAGUUUUCAUGUAGAAGUGGCUCUUAUGUAAUUAAAUAGAAAAAGAUGGGUAUUUUUCAAAGCUUUUGACAAAGUCCAAACAAUAAAAAUUAAAGGACUAUUUUCUAAGCAAGAUGACUUUGCAAAAAGACUUUAAUGCCCUCAAAUUGGUUUUUAAUGCCACUAAGCUGCCAUAUUGAAGUGACUCUUCUAAUAUAUAGAAAUGUGAUAGACUUGUCUUUCUUCUGAGGUUGAGAAAUAAAAGAAAAUGACUUUGUGAAAAUGAAGUAUUUGAUGCGUGAAAACAUAUGUGGAUCCACGUGUUAGGGUGGGGUACACGUGCGCCCGUUAAGUUCAGAUUUUUUUUUUUUGUGUAAAUUCAUGUAUAUACCUUAAGAACUAAUAUAUAAAUCAGGCGCACCUUGUGGAACAUUGUUGUACUUUGGGCACGUUGGUUCUAGCUUAUGUUCCCCACCAACGCGACCCAGGAUCGAAUAUGUAACGACCCUCUCGGUCAUCUGUGAAAUUUUCUCAUCUUUUUUAUUUUUAGCUUUUGCGGUAGUUUAUAUACAUGAAUUAUGACUUAUAGGAUUGUAGUACCAAUUCGUGAGGUGUUCGGAGGCGAUUUAAGUCUGUUAUUUGUUUUAUGUUGUGUACAUGUUAUUAAGUUGAGUUGGCCUAUGAUACCUACCAAUACAUAAUGGUUUGUACUGAUACUACCCUGUACUCUUCUUUUGUUGAGUGCAUAAAUUAUUCUAGAGGCUCAUACACGAUCUCACCUCUAGAGUUUGAUAGCAGAUCUUGAUCUAAGGGUGAGCACUUCAUCUCCAGGCUGCCAUGGGUCAUUUUAUUUGUUCUUGUCCAUCUUUCGGGCAAUGAAAUGUUUUUUAUUUACUUUAUUUUGGGAUAUCUCUUUAGACAUGAUCUUUGUUAGUAGUUCUUGUACGAUGACUUUCGGGUCUUGGGAAUUUCAGUUAGUAGAUUGUUUGGUUUCCACGCUACUGACGAUUAAUUCCAGAUUAUUAUUGUUAAGAUGGUUUUAUGAAAAUAUCAUUUAAUAUUGACUAAGUGAUUGGAUAAUGGUUUGAUUUAGAUGGUUCUUCCACAGGAAGGUUAGUGUGGGUACCACUCAUGACCAUUUGGGUCGUGACAGAAUACGACAAUGAAGUCUUCUUUUUGCUAUUAUUUUGUUUUGUUAAUUUUAACAACAAAAAUUUGUAGUAAGAAUUCAAACUUGUGACACCUUGAUUAGAUAUAUAAUACAACCUUUACCACUGGGCUACUGCACUCAUUUAUUUCUAUGGAGUUAAGAUUUAUUUAUUUACCUAAAAUUCAUAUUUGACCAAUAAAUUUAUAUUUUUUCAUUGCUUAAGCCCGACAUCGAUCAAACAUGACACAAUACCUCGAUCGUCAUUACAAAAUUCUUGACCGUUUAUAUUAAUAUAAUGGUCCACCCACAUUUUUUAAAUUCUGAUUUGCCCAUGCGUGGAAAAAGUAAUGAAGUAUAGUCCGAUGUCGACGCAAGACGUCUACGUUAAUCAUGAACCUCAAAAGAUAAAAAAAGACAAACACAUGGUACAUAUGAAACAUAAACUAAAUUUCUUGCUAUUUAAAGCCAAACAAUCCUAACCCCACCCCACCCCCCAAAAAAUAAAGUUAAACAAUACAAUAGUGAGAUAAAUUGUUUUAUUUUUCGUAAUUACAUUAUAUCAUUAUCAAUAAUUUUAAAAUAAAUUUACAAGAAAAAUAAUGUACAUGGUAGAUUUAUUUUGAAAAUGUAAAAUUAAAGGACAAAAUAUAGUUAUCAAAUAAUAAUUAAAGAUAAAAUUAAUAAAAAAAUAAAAUAAACACGUGAUCACAACAAUUCCAUAAUUACACAAAGCAUGACAUUUCAUGGUUAUCUGAAAAUAAUUUUAACAUGUAAUACAAUAAAAUUUAGAAUUAAUUAUCAAAAGUACAUCUAUAUGUUGGAUUUUGUUUGUUUAUUUCAUACUAAAUUAUUGAGUGUGUAAUUUUUUCUAUUUUAACUGUCAGCGGUGGUUAGUGAACACACCUAAGCGCUUUACAUAUGAAAAUUAAAAAAUCUAAAAUAAUUUACAUGUAUUUUAACCCUUGCUAGGUGUUUGGCCAUGAAAUUAAUUUUUUUUAAGUUGAAAUUAGAGUCGGAGCAGAAGUUUGUUUUUUUGUUUGAUCAUAAAUAUAAAUUAGAGUUGUUUUUAACUUUUUGUGAGAGAAAUAAAAGUGAAAAAAAAUAAAAAACAAGUUUCAUCCAUUUUCACCUUUUUAAAUAUAAUUUGAAAUUCUCAUGACCAAACACUAUAAUUUUUAUUAUAGUGAUGUAAUUUGAAAAAAAAAAAGAAAUAUUCUCAUGGCCAUUAUCUCUUGUGACCAUUUCAUCAUGAAAAUUAAAAUUUGAAAAAAGUUAAAAACAGUUUUUUUUGUUGCUUUUUAUUUUUUCAAAUUUAAUUUCAAGUUGUAUUUAAAAUUCUUAUAGCCAAACAUCAACUUAAAAUUAUAUUUGACAUAAAAAAAAAUUCUCAUGACCAAACCGACCUAAAAUUUUAACUAACAAUAAAAACAAAUAUCUUUCAUAUUUAACCAAAUAUGUCGAUACAAAACAAUAAAGUAUGUAACAACCAUGAAAACAACCCAUAAGUAAAUGACAAUACUUGGGGAAAAGGGAAAGGGAACCAAUGGAGAAUUUCUGCAACUAUUUCAAACAUCAUACUACUAAAUGCUGGCUUGUUAAAAUAAAUAAAUAAAUAAAUAUAAUUUCCACUCUUCGCUGGCUUUUUGUCACUCGGAGAUACCGAUGCUCUUUUGCUCCCACCAUUUUCCCUUUUUCUUCACUGAUUUUGUUGAUUGUAUUUUUGCUAAAGCAUGUGUUCAUACAAAAUCAUACAAGGGGAAUUCUGAGUGUGAAGUGGAAAUGGUACUAAUAACUUUUACAUGGCGCCAUGGUGGUACUCAAGUUUUUCUUUGUGGUUCCUUCCAUGGGUAAGUAAUUUCCAUUUCUCAAUUACUAGUGCUCUUAUCUUUUUUAUUUUUAAAUUUGUGGUAAUUGUGGGUUUCUGACCAAGCUUGCACACAUCUUUAUUAAUUUCACAAAAUAUUUGUCACAUCUCACUAGCAACUGGUAACAAGUGGAUACAUGUGGACACAGGAUAGCAGGUAGCUCUGUCUAUCGAGGCUAGGGCAUAUUAUUAAUUUUACAACGUACUUAUCACCUCUCACCAGCAACUAGUACCAACUGGACAGAGGAUAGUAGGUAUAACUCUAUCCAUCGAGGUUCGGACAGACUAUUAAUUUCACGACAUAUUUGUUACCUCUCACCGGCGGCAACAAGUACCAGGUGGAAAGAGGAUAGCAUGUAACUCUGUCCAUCGAGGUUAGGACAGAUUAUUAAUUUCACGACAUAUUUGUCACCUUUCACCUCCAACAAGUACCAGGUGGAAAGAGGAUAACAUGUAACUGUGUCUAUCGAAGCUAGGGCAUAUUAUUAAUUUCACAAGAUAUUUGUCAUCUCUCACCAGAAAUAAGUACCAACUGGACAGAGGAUAGCACGUAACUCUGUCCAUCGAGGUUAGGACAUUAUUAGUUUCACUACAUAUUUGUAGCCUCUCACCGUCAACAAGUACCAGGUGGAAAGAGGAUAGUAGGUAUCGCUGUUGCUUGAGGUUAGAACAGAUGAGAAGAAAUCACCGAGUAUUUUUGUCUAUUCUGGAAUUUGAACAUUGACCACUAGACUAUACAGCCUUGGGUUCAAUGGGCUUAUCUUUCUUUUUGAAGAAAUUCUUAUUUUAUGAUUCUACAAAGUGCACUUUUACAUGUUUGUUGUUAUGUGCCCACUAAGAGCUGAGAGAUUUGGGUGUUGUAGAUGGAGCGAGCAGAUACCGAUGAAUUUGGUGGAGGGUUUGGUGGCCGUUUUCCAGAGGAUUGUUGAUGUUCCACCCGGGUAUCAUAAGGUAUUCCUUGAACUUUUAGGUGAUGAUUAUGUAUUGAGCUAUGGUUUCGUAAAAAGUAGACGUAAAAUCAAAAGAAAGGGCUACUUGAACAUUUUUGUCUUACGCGGGGGUAGCCACCUUAGGCAACGGGUGGUCCGGUGCAUGCCCUUCGCGGGGAAACUAUGUGGUGUACAGAUGUUAAAUAUUAGCUAUUAUGAGUGUAUAUUUAGUUUUGCACAUCCUUAACACAACUGGGAAUACAAUUUGCACACCAUUCACCAAAUUCCUGGCUCUGCCAAUACGUGGUGUAAAGGGAAAACGGUCUCAUCUUUGUCAUACAGUACAGCUGCAAAGGCCUAACCAAGUUCAUAGAGCUAGAAUUUUGGUAUUGUAAAGAAAUGGAUGAACAGGAAGAGUGUUUCAAGACUCAUGGUUAACUUUAUAAUUGAGGUCUUGAGUUACUGGCCAGUUAACUGCUAUGAAUGAUUUUUCCCCUUCCGAUUAGUGUUUUCUUACUCCUUCACAAAAGCUAUGUGUGUUUAUUUCUGUCAUUUUGAAUUGACUCUCUCAGGAGGUUGCCAAGCAGAUUGUAACACCUUCAAUUGCUGCAACGUGUGUCUGUUGAAAAAAAAUCUUACUUGUACAACUAGAUAAUAUCUGUGUAUGGUUUCUGAAGGCCAAUGACUGUCCUGGAGGAAAGCUUAAGUUUAAAGGCAUAACUGCUUAUGUCGGAAGGAUCGACCUCAUCUUUUUCUUCUGUCUCUUACUUCUUGACCAAGUUAAGUGAAUAAUGUAACUUGUUUUAGGGUAUUUCAUCUUCAGGCUUCAGCAGUACACUGUACACAGCUAACUUGUUGACUAUACUUAUCCAAAACAAAAGUUAGCGGUGUACUUCUGAAGGUUGUAAUCGCAUAUUUCUCCCAAUCGUGAUGUUAUGGCAUAAGAAGGUUAAUUUGCUCCCUCCUUAAAUUUUCUAGUUUCUGUCUCCUCUGGAACAGGUAGGUGUAUCAUUGCAGUGCAGGAAAAACAAAAGAAUUUAAUCUGAGUCAAAAUUAAACUUGGGUUGCUGGUUUUAUCGUCUGUGGCUUCUGCCUUUGUGUUUUAAUCUCAUUCACAAUAUGAUAGUUCUGGAAAUUUCACUAUCCAUCUUUAGGUUCUGAAAAAUGAUGAAAUCAUAGCUAGUCAGUAGCAUAUCCAAGCAACAACAGUGAUUAUUAGGUGACCUUUUUCAAGUACAAUCUAAUCUAAGUGCUUCAAGCCUAUAUCAAGUGGAUAAGUGAGAACCAAAUUUUCACCUACAUUGUUUAAGGGAUUAUAAUGUGGAUAACUGAUACCCAUUUAUCACCUACAUAACAUUGCUUUCUCCGUCCUUCACAGUUUAGAUGAUUUCAAAAUGCAAUAGCAACAUUAGGAAAGUAAAGCUGAAUUGUCUUGUUGUAAUUGGGUUAGGUAAUGAUAGUUCAAAUAAUAGCUAAAUGUGUGGACGAUGGAAGGUGAGUUGAUAGGAUAAUAUGUGAAUGAUGGAAAAACACAGGUAGUGUUACUUCUCAUUUAUUCGAAUUCUGGAGAUGGGAACUUGGUAUUUUGAAACUGAUCAAAUGAAUUGGAUGGAUUAUAUCUGAAAGUGAGUUAACUUAAUUAAGACUAAGUGAAUACUCCAGGAGAUAUGUCAUUACUCACUGUGAUCCAUCUUACCAUCUAAUACCAGUACACUUUUUGUGUUGUGGAUUUUAACUGCCUCUAAGAAGAUGCAUUGAUGGCUUAUUGUCAUCUUAGUAUCAACAAAUAGUUUGGCAUGUAGAUAUAUUAUCGAGAUUUAGUAUUACUGUAUGGGCAUUGGUUUUCCUCCUGACAAUAAUUUUUCAUGUCUAAUUCCCGAGGAUUGUGGUAUUAUUUGAUUUUGAUGCAUGCUGUGUUACUGAUCAAAAUUUGUAUCUUAUAUGUCUAUUCUGGUAGAUCAUUUGAUAUUCAGGACCAUCCUUGUUUUCUUAACAAGCUAAGCAUUUAGCAAGUGUACCUCUUCACAAGAGAGGGGUAUCAUAAAGUUCUACAUAUUGUAGCAGUUACUGAUCGUAUUAUACAUGCACAGCCACACCUGCUUAAGUUAAAGGAAAGUGUACAUUUUGUACGGAGUUGAAUUUACUGGCUCCAAAUGAACUAUGCAGUACAAAUUCUUAGUUGAUGGCAUCUGGCAAGUCGACCAGGACCAGCUUUGUGUUCAGGAUGAGUAUGGUGAAAUCAACAACUUAGUAUUUGUUGAGGAAUCAGGUUCCAUGCCUUCUGCCUUACCAAGAGAGGAUACUCAGUCAAAUUUGGCCUCGGGUUCUGCUAGAAGCAUGCAUCCAGAGGUUAGUGCCGAUCAGAAAGAAUUUCUUACUUGAUAUGGUUCAUGACCCAGUUUCCUUUUCCGUCCCUCGUUCUGAAAACCACUCAUAAUGACUACAUCCAACCAUUUUCCUUCACAUUUUAAUUUCGUAUAAUUUCGUUGUCAUACCAACCAGGCUUCAUCUUCACGCGGACUACAACUUGAACCAGUCAUGCAAUUGUCAAACAAUGAAAUAAAUGUUUCCCGGCAUCGUCUAUUCAUGUUCUUGUCAUCUUCCCAAGCAUAUGAGCUGAUUCCAGAUUCGGGAAAGGUUUGGAAGUCUUUAUGUGUGUGUCCCCUUAUAUUUUGCCUUUACUUAAUAAUAUCUCUAGUUAAAUUUACUGACUACUAGUUGGUGAUUCUUUGUUGCAGGUCUUUGCGUUAGAUACUGAAGUGGCUGUGGAACAGGCAUUUCAUAUCAUGUAUGAAAAGGUUUGGUUUUCUAUGCCCACUAUUGAUUGUCUUCUUGGCUCCUCUCGCGUGUCAGAGACACCUUGGUCCUCAAGCUCAAGGUUGUUGCUAGUUAUAAAUAAUUGUUCAAGCAAAUUCUGGAAGUUGUAAAUUGUCUUGGAGAUUUGCAUAUCAGUUAUAUCCAAGUAUACAUUUCAAAUAUGGACUUGAUUAGUUAAUCAAAACAACCAAAGAUUUUCUGCACUUUAUUAAAACUAUAUUUUAAUAUAUUGGGUAAAAUAUGUGAAGGUUGUUUGCAAUGGUUUGACCAUAGCAUACUAGACCUUCAACUGCACCGGUUCGUAAAUGUUGCACUAUGAUGAUUGGAGGUAUUUGAUAAAAGAAAGAAAAUUUAAUUUACAGGAUACGAUAUAUUUGGAUCGAAAGUGUGAACCAUACAAAUAUUAAACUAAAAAAAGAGGAAAAUUUUGAUUUCGGAAUGGUUUUCCAUAUGAGAUGAAUCUAUUAUUUUGAUCUGUUAUUUGUUUUUAAUUUGUAUGGACUGGCCAAUAUUUGUCGGAUAUAGUUACUCACCUUGAAGCCCAAUACCAGUGAGAAUGCUUCCUAAGGACCAAACCUAACCGCUGGGACAUACAAUAUAGACUUAGCAAAAGAAUUUUUAGUUUACAAGAUACAACUAUUGGAUCUAUGUCAAUUCCAUACAAAUAUUACACCAAUAUUACACCAGAAAAAGAAAAAAUUCCUUGUUUUCGAAAUGGUUUGCCAUCUAAGAUGAAUCUAUUAGUUUGAUUUGUUUUUUGUUAUUGAAUUGUGUGGAUUGGCAAAUAAUUGUUGGAUAUAGUUGCUCACUUUGCAAUACAAUACCAGCAGGGUUGCUGCCCAAAGGAGCAAAUUGACUGCUGGGACAUUCAGAAUAGACUUAGAAUUACACGGCCUUGUCGCAAAAGUCAAUUGUUUUUUUCUUUUUUUCAGAAUCUAUGUGGUAGAAUUACACAGCCUUGUCGCAAAAGUCGAUUCUUCUUUUCUUUUUUCAGAAUCUAUGUGGACUAGCAAAGAACUCAGUACCAGUGAAAGUGAGAUACUCCUUCAAGCAAUGGACUCGGACAAACAAAGUCCUUACUCGUAUUCCACCAACAACUCGCGUAUCGUAUGGAGCUUUUUCCUAUCCUUUCUGCGUAGACUUGCUUCUCACCUGUGUCAAAGGCCACAAAUCAUAAUGGAAAUAAAAUAUCCAUAUAUGUUGAAUGAUUUACAUGUAAUACAAAAUAUAAACCCUAGUUUUCCUUUAAACGAUAAGUUGUUGAAUAUUGAGUAUUGUAAAUGGGUUCAAACAGACCAUAAUGGAUAUUGAGAAUUCAUAUAGUUGACCCUUGCUAGUUUGGGAUAGAAUCCUAGUUGUUUUCAACUUCCUGUUGUGUAAAACCAAUUUGAUUUACCCUCUGAUAUCUUGUUUAUAUGGUCUAUUCCAAAAAGUGACUAGUGUUUGUGGGAGACCUUUGUAUAAAAGGUAUGAGCAUUUAUGGUAUGGCUUCUUGAUUUCUGUUUCAGAUGUUCCUAUAUUGGAGGUUGUGGAAUACAGCGUCUAAUAUUCUUUUCCCAAAUUUUUCUCUGAUAUGGGGAUGUGUCUUUUGUUUAGUCUGUUGUGCUCUAGGUAAUCUAUUCCUUGGAUUAGUUUCAUUAAAACAUAGGAAAUAAAAAAUAUUACUUAGUGCUGGUAAAUCCUGCCAAAAGAAUGUCCCUGUAUAGUUGGUUGGGCACCAAUGCAAUUGUGUGUGGAAUUACACUGGGUAUGUUGUUGUGAUCUAUGCAAUCGUGUCGGUUCAUGCUAUCCUACUAGCUCUAAGAAUUGUAUCUCCUUGUCUUUAAUGAUUUCUCCUCCAUUCAACUUCUAUGUUGAUUUUGUUUUAUGCUUGGAAUUUCUUGAAGUUAAUUAGUUGAAUAUAUGUUUAGCGACUUGCAGUGAUGCCUCUUUGGGAUGAGAGGAAUGCAAUGAUUACGGGAAUGCUUACUGCUUCUGAUUUCAUUUUGAUCUUGUUGAAGGUACUUUUUAAUUGCUAAGCGUUGCUGGCAACAAGUUUUAAAUUUUUAGUUAUGAAUUGAAGUGCUGAAAAUUGAGCCAGAGAAGAAUACUUUUGGAGGAAAUAUUUUAAAUUCUAGUACACAUCUAUGCUUCUUUCCUAUAUGUCACAACCAAGGUUUUACUAUUUUCACAGCUCCAGGAAAGUCAUCCAACGCUGACCAACGAUGAGCUUGGAAUGCACACGGUUUCAGCUUGGAAAUAUGGAAAAUUCCAAUUUCAUGCAGAAGUGUCAGGGGCUAUGGUACCUCCAAACAGAAGGGUACUGCAAGUAUGUAAUCUUUCGGUUGGCUGGAGUGUUAGCUAACUAUCUUUCUUUUCUAAUUGCUAUACGGAAUACUAAUGUUUUUGCUUUUGUUUAUCAAAUCUGUCCUUGCAAGUUUUGGUUUCUAUUUUUGGGGUGGAGGUGUACCAUAUUUGCAAGUUAGCUAACCAUGAGAAAAUUGUCUGUCUUUUCUAGCACAGCAGCUUCUAUUAGAAUCCUUGUUCUUUCUAUUCAUUGCUCCUAUUUUCUCUGCAAUCACAGGCUGCUCCUGAUGAGUCACUGAAAGACGUGGUCCAAACAUUAUUACAAAAUAAGAUAUCUGCAGUUCCACUUUUACAUUCACCAGAAGAUGGGUCAUCUCCGCAGUUGUUGCAUACUGCAUGCCUUGCAGGAAUAUUAAAGCGUAUGUUUGCCUAUAGCUUGCUUUCAAUUAUGAAGCUUUGUUUCCACAGGAUGUUUUUGCAAGGGCUUAUGUUGGGUUUAUUUAUUUUGUCAAAUUUUAGACAUAUGCAGGCAUUUUAGGCACUCUCUAGAGUAUCUGCCUAUUCUACAGCAACCAGUGGGUAAUCUUCCAUUUGGCACCUUCACAGGAGAAGUUGCUGGAAGGCCAAGCAGCCGUGUAUUGUUGACAUUACACAGCAGAGACCUCCUUAGUUCCGCUCUUAAAUUACUAAUAGAAGGUACACAAUGAUAUUUCUAGAGUAGUACAAGAUGAACAGAAUUUGGAAGUGCCCUGUUGUGAAGCCUGUGCUUUUGAGUAUUCUUUCUGUUUACUGAAAACUGUGCAUUUGAUUUCCUGAUGCAUGUACCUUCUAUAAUUAGCUGUAUACUAUCUCGUCAAUAUGGUUGCAUUACUUCAUUCAACAGAAAAUCUUCUUUACAGUGCAAUGGUUAUAGCAUAAAGCUUUGCGACAGAAGAUGAGUAUUCGUUCCUAUUGUAAUAUUCAUUACUAGGUGAUCUUGAAAGGUCAACACAGCUUAGUUCAGUAUGGUAGGAUAGCUUCAUUUAAAAGAAAAAAAUAUCUAGUCUCAGUACAGUGGUCAAUACAUAAAGCGCUGUUAUUGAAGCAGUGAAUGUUCGUUACCGUUGAUCUUUAGUGGAAGGUCUAACUAAGCUUUGGUGAAUCGAUUUCAAUGUAAGGAUAUCAAUGGGCUCCUAACCUAUAAAUUCAUAGCUAGCAAUUCUCAGGCUCAUGGUUUAGUGAUAAUUCACAAUUGGCAAGCUAGGUUCCUGGGAGAAAUAAGGUUUAAGUUCUCUGGUUUUUCUGUUUUUUCAUCCUUCCCCCGGCCCGUCUGUGUCUUUCAUUCUUUCUUAUUCCUAGUCUAUAUGCUAGUGAGGUUCAUAUUUACUAUUAAACAUGUGAUACAGACCUGAUCCUUCCACUUCCACAUCUCAAUUUAGGAAUUGCAUAGUUGAAUUAGAAUACCCUUCCUAUUGUUAUUGGGAUUUUACCCUCUCCAGUCAGUGAUUACAGAAUUUUUAACAUUUUCUUGUUAGAUAUCUUACGUUGUGUGCUAAGCACAUUGUUCUCUUGCUCUGACAGGUGGGAUAAGCUCAAUACCGAUCGUCGAUGAUAAUGGGGCCCUGAUAAAUGUGUACUCUCGGAGGUAAUCCAUGCGCUUCCAAUGGUAAAUUCUUUUAAGAUUUUUUAUUUUCAUGCACAUCGUUGAAGUUUUUUGGUUUAAUUAAAGCCUUCAGAUUUCUAUUUAUGACUGUCUUUAUAUAGUGAUAUAACCUCUUUGGCAAGAGACAAUGUGUAUGCUCGCUUUCGGCUUGACCAGAUUAUCAUGACUCAAGUGAGUUCCUUUCAGUCCACCAUCUCUUGUUUCCUCAAGAUUAUCAUGCUUGCUAAUAUAAGUGAGGUGCUACUGCACAAUAGAAUUGUAUGGAGUACAAAAGUUAGUGAAUUUUUUAAAACAUUUCAAAGUUAGUUCUUUCGCGUACAAUAUUACUACUCUAUGAAGACUUAAAUGGUAUCGUGUGGCAUAUGAAGCUUCUUAAACAAUUAUUGGUUUAUUACCUACCAUUUGGUUUUUGCUCUUUGCUUGGAACUCUUUCAUCUUGAUGUUCUGGGUAAAAGUUCUUGGGAGUUGUUUUGUAAACGAUGUUCGCCAUUGUUGAUGUCCGUUCUUAGGGUAUGAGGGCAUUCUAUCACUUUGUUUGUAAAUCCUUGAGGAAAGAGUUUUUGGAAUUGUAAUCCUGUUGUUACCUAUUUUCCUGCAUAUGAUGCAAUAAUUUAAAAUUGGCUUACAGGUCCUGCAGGUCUUAGAUGAAACAUCCCAUGAUCGUUGUAGGACAUGCACACGCUUUGAUUCACUGUAUAGGAUAAUGGAGCUCCUUUCAGAUCCAAGUUUGUACCACUUCUUUUUUUCUGUCUUGACAUUUUUCUUGCUAGCAUCAUAAUCUUGUAGUCUAAAUGCCUCUUCUUUUUGUUUCAGCUGUGCGGCGUGUUGUGGUCAUUGAUCCCACUAGCCGGCAUGUAGAAGGCAUAAUCACUUUGAGAGAUGUGUGUAAUCUUCUUUUAGGCUGAAAUUCCUCUUGAACUAUUUCACAGGUAUUUAGAUUUUACUCCCUGAAAUAGCAAAUCAAUUUGCAUAUUAUAUGUUGCGCUUGCUGAUUAUGCGCUUUCGUUUGAAGUAUUGACAUACUAAAAGGACAUAAAAGUUACUUUAAAGAAAAGUAGUGACCUGGAUCCAAUGAUCUUUAUGGUCAUUAUUUAUUACAUUUCAUUGUUUUGUUUAGCAGGUGGGAGUAAACUAGUACGAUGACUUUGUAAUGGCUGCUCUAUUGCUCAAAGAGAAAAGUUGUCAUUGUGUCAUUUGGCUGAGUGGAAGAGAUGUUUACAAUCAUCCCAAUAAAGCAUAAUCCACUGGUGUAUAAUUGUCUGCGGUAGCUUUUUGCAGAAAAAUACGGUAAAAUUGUUGCACAAACACAACAAACGAAGUUCGUGUAGUCGAGGACAAAAGAGAACACAGAAAAUCUGAACUAAGAUGUAUGUAACUGAAGACUUCCCUUACAAUUAAAUAACUGUUAGUAGUAUAGUUGAAUAGUACAACAGCAGUUGUACUUCAAUCCCAAGCAUAUUGGGUUAUGUUGUAUAUGAAUCCACACUAUGCAUGUUGCUGCUCCAUUUAAGCAUGUGUCAGGUUAAUAUGAACAAGUGAAUGUUGGUUCAUCUUUAUCAACAGUAAUAUUGCUUCAAAUUUAGUUGCAGACAAUUUAAGAUGGAAUAUAUCUGGUCGCUCUGAGGGUGCAAUUCAUCCCAUGAAAUAAACUCAUGUGUCGCUCCAUUCAAUUGAAUCAAACUACAACCAGCAUUCUUCUUGAUCUGUGCAGAGUCUCUUCUUCUCCUUAUAUUGACCAAGUCGUCCCAACGGCCAGCAUCUGCAAAGACAUUUGCCAAGAUCGAAUAAACCCCACCAUCUUCAGGUUUCACCUCCAUCACAUUUUCAGCAGCUUUCACUGCCAGCUCUACGUCACCAUGUAUCCUGCACCCGCCAAGCAAACCACCCCAGACAAACACAUCACCAGCCAUUGGCAUCGCCUCUAUCAUCUCCAUAGCUUCUUUAAUCAACCCUGAACGUGCCAGCAGAUCCGCCAUGCAUCCAUAAUGUUUUAGUUCUCGAGGAACACCAUAAACCCCUUCCAUUUCUCCAAAGAACCUCCUAGCUUCAUGAAUACGACCCCCAUGGUUACACCCCACCAACAGUGCCAAAAAGGUAACCCCAUCAGGCCUAAUGCCAGUCUCCACCAUUUCCGCGAAGUAAUCAAACAGUAACUCACCAUGACCAUGCAUUGCUAACCCAACUAGCAUAGCGUUCCAAGUAAACACUUUCUUGUCCUUGCUCGUCUCAAAUAACUCUCUAGCAACAUCAAUGCACCCGCAUUUGCCAUAUAGAUCAACCAAACCCGUACACAAAUAUGAAUCUAUCGCGAUCCCUUUCCUUCUAAUAAAUUCAUGUAUCGACUUCCCCUUUUCUAGCUCUCCCAGUUGUGCACAAGCUGAGAGAACAGAAACCAACGCGACAUUAUCAAACUUCACAUCUAACAUAACCAUUUGAUCAAACAACUCAAUCGCAUCUCUACACCGAUUCAUUCUCGCAUAUCCAGCCAAAAGGGUACCCCAAGAAACUCCAUCUCUUUCAGGCAUUUCAUCAAACACUUUCCGAGCAUCCUCAAUCUCACCCGCCUUAACACACCCAUCAAUCAUCAAAUUAUAAGAAACAACAUCUCUGCUACAACUUUCGUCAAACACCUUACGUGCAUCCCCAAUACUACCAUUCACAUUAUACACACGAACAAGAUUAUUACAUACAAACACAUCAACUAAAAACCCAAACUUCAACGCCUGGCAAUGAAGGGUCUUACCGAGAAACAACGAGUUCAGCAACCCACAAGCUUUAAGAACGAAAGGGAAAGUGUGGGAAUCAGGUGGAACUGACAUUCUCCGCAUUUUGAGGAAGUAAAAGAAGGAAGUGUUGGGAGAAGAAAGAAGGGUGUUAGCUCGGAUAAUGGUGUUGUAACAGAAAGUUGAUGGGCUGUUAAUGAGGCUGAAAAUUGAGGUGACAUAGUGAGUGAAAUGGGGGUGGGUGGGUUGUUGUAAAGGGACUGAAGAGAGAAGGGAAGUAAAAGAAUGGAGGAUUUGAGGAUGGAUAAGGAGGUUAUUGGUAAUGGAUUGAGCAUGAACUUGAUGAAUCUGUGAAAUUGUUUUGCAUUGUUGUUUUAAUGUGAAUAUUAAGUAGGAUGAUGAUUGUUUUUUAUAAGUUAUUUUAACCAUGGAAGUUGUUAUUCAUUGUGGAAAAUUGAAAGCUAUAGCUAGCACAAGUGAAUGACAAAAUGGAAAGUGGAGUGGAAAACGGAGAACAGAAACGUGGACGGCAGGAUUCGAACCUGCGCGGGCAGAGCCCACAUGAUUUCUAGUCAUGCCCGAUAACCACUCCGGCACGUCCACUCUUUAGUCAUAAACUUCAUAAUUAUUCUUUCACUUUACGAAGCACUUGUAGAAUCAAAGAUAUGUCUCUCUUUCGAGUCAUUAUUCAUAAUUGUGUUGGUUGCAGUUCAGAGUCUUUCACUUUAUGAAGCACUUGUGGAAUGAAAGAUAUGUCUCUCUUUCGAGUCAUAAUUGUGUUAGUUGCAGUUUAGAGUUUUUCUUAAUGAAAGAUAAUACUUCUUUUUGUACCAAUUUAUCAGAUUGCAGUUUGAUAUGGUAAAGUUAAAGAAGAAAAGGAAGUUUCUUAAUUUUAUGAUCUAAAAACAAACUUUUGAGAUUAUUUUGAUCAAAGCAAGGAACUAGAAUCGUAAACCUUAAUGUCGAUGGGGUAAUUUGAAGGGUAUGUCACAUGAACUUCUUUUCAAACAAAGUUUAAAAAAAUAUAUAUCCCUAUAGACCGCCAGCUCCAAAUUCCAAGGAGCAAACAUCUCAAUGAUCCCUAAACUAACCAAAAGAACCGGCAGGGGCAACAGAUAUAGUGUUUUCGUCAGAUAUGGUGUUUAUAAAUAUUUGGUUUUGAACCUAGUUAUUAUUACAUAUAUUAACUUGAGAUGGUUAUAGAAUAUGUAUCCUGAAAAGCUCCAUCAUCCAAGUGAAGACAGCUGCAUAUUAAUCUUUUUAGCUCCUUUGUCUAUCAAUAAUUUCACUUUCAAAAGGGAACAUCAUGGAAAAUGACUAGUGUUGUACACUUUCCACAUUUAGGUCUUUUUUAACUGGUUUAAUAUGUCUCCUCUCCCACUUAAUGGUGGCUUUCAAUCUCCACAAGAUUCCUUAGAACCAUUUUUGUAAUUUUAUACUCCAUUUUUAGGGCACUCUUAAGUGGACGGUGCAAAAUAAUUAUACUCUAUCAAGGGAAAGCCAAUCUGCAUCAUAUUCUACUUUUAGUAGGUAAACAGGGUCCUCUAUUUCUUCUUUCAGCAUAUCCUUAUUAUAAUAUUAUCUUAAUGUUUGAGGGCCUCAUUUUAAUGCUUUUGAAGUAAUUAUAACCCAACUCUUUCCACAUGCAUUCCACUUGUCAGCAAACUUUAGCUCUUCACUAUUCCACUGGAAUGAUUUUAUCUUUUUUAUUUUUUGCUUUUCUCCACAUGGAGAGUGAAUAGAUUUCCUUCCUUUUUAUUAGCUAUUGAGAUGAGAAACCAUAAUUUUCACUUAGGUAUUCAAACCAUAAAGAAUCUAGUAAUUUUGACCUUAUAUACAGAAUCGUAUAAGUUUUCAACGAAUUCGUUUCCGAUACCUAGCUCCGCCCUAAGCAACAUAGACGGUGAAAAUUUAUAUAGCUAACCAAUUGAGGCAUAGUUACCGUUGUAUUUAUCUAAAAAAAAGACUUGAAGGGGAGCCUUGGCAUAAUGAUAAAAUUAUUGCUAUGUGAUCAGGAGGUCACAGUUCAAUCCGUGAAAACAGCCACUUACAGAGAUGCAGGGUAACCUACAUAUAAUAAAUAGACCUUUAUAAUUUGAUCCUUCCUCGAACCCCAUUGCAGUGCACCGCGCUACGCAUUUAGUUAUGUAAAUCUUUUGGAAGAGAGAAUAUAAAUAUCCUUAGUGGUGGAUAAGCAGGAUGGCCUAAUACAAAAAGAAUAUUUACUAGGAUGGGGGGACCAUAUAGAUUUGUCAUUUCUCUAUUUUGGUAGACCUUGUGUCCAGAUAAUAUAAUAUAAUAUAAUAUAGUGGACAAAUUCUUGGCUUCCAAGAUUGUUAUAUAAUAGAACUUGUAGAAGCAAGAGAAGCCAUCAACUUAACUUGGCCUAUUAGUUGUGAAGCACAAGAAGAUGUGGAGAAAGAAGAAAAAGAAGGAUUGUGAUGUACUAUUCGAGGAAAUGGCGAUUACUAGGUCACACCCUUUGGUGCAUCUGAUGUGAAUCGAUCGAUACCAAAGGGAUAAAAGGCAAGUCAUAGAGGCAAAGGGAAGGCAACGCCUUUCUUCCAGGAUUUUAAUUUCUUUCUUUUCCUCUUGUAUUUUCAUAUUACUAUCCAUCAUGGAUAAGUUGGGGUUCCCAAGUUUCACAUGUAAGUCUUUUAGCUUUGGGUUGAACUACUGUUCAGUUUGUUGCUUUAGUAUUAACUGUGUUGGAGUCAAUGCCUUCUUUUCAAGAAAUACAAUUCUGUUCCUACUUUUCUAUUUUAACCAAUGUGUUCUGCAGUCUAGUGGUGCUUGAAUAUCUACAUCCAAACAAUGAACGUUGCCGCCAAGGAUUUAAGUUAUAUACUCUGAUAGUGUAUAUAAAUUCUACACCUUUGGUGCAAUUUAACCGACUAUAGUCAACUCAAAAAAAUUGGUGGUCUAAAGCCAAAUCAGCAAAUAUAGGUUGAUUAUCAAAAGAAGACCUAUACAACCAAAAAUAUAAACCAAGUUUUUGUUACUUACUAUCAGUCGGUAACACAAGCGUUAAAUGUUAAGACAGAAACAUUAAGAAGUAAAUACACGAAGAAAUCAAAGGGAUUCAAUAUACAGUAUGCUGUGUAAUUUUCGAGCAAAGGAGUGUCGAUUGACUCCCCUUUGGACUAGGUAAGCUUUGCCCCUCGUUGUAUCAAUAGAGAUAUUGAUAAGAAUAACUUUACUGUAUUUGCCACCGAUCAUAAGAGAAUAGAUUAUUUUUAUUUACAGAUAACAGUAAUUAAUUAGCAAUCGCUUAUAGCAAGUUCUCCACAUAAUUUAAUUCAAACAAAUGUUAGAAUUUUUCAAUUCAUGUACCAACUUACCUCAGUGUAAUCCACUAGUGGGAUCUGGAAGGAUGGAGAGUAUGCACACUUACCGGAGAAAAGAAAAACUGGAGGAGGUUGGGUGUUCAAAAUGGACAAUACUGGCAAGAUCAAGGGUAGAGUCAGGUAGAACCGAGGGGUUCAUCUGAACUCCUUUGACGGAAAAUUACAUAGUUUAUACGUAAUUAAAAAUAUUUUUUACAUAUAUAUACUAAUGUUGAACCUCCUUUGGCUUCUUAAGUUUACUUCUUCUUAGUUUGAACACCCUUGGUGAAUAUCUAGCUCCACCACGGGACAAGAUGCAUCUGCUUGAAAAAAGAACAAUCCGGUGCACUAGCCACUAAGGGGUCGUUUGGUAGAGUGUAUUGGCAAAAAUAAUUUAUGUAUUAAUUAAUGUGUAUUAUGAAUACCUUGUUUGGUACAAUUUUUAGCCAAUGUAUAACUAAUGCACUAAGAGAUCGUUUGGUAGAGUGUAUUGGCAAAAAUAAUUUAUGUAUUAAUUAAUGUGUAUUAUGAAUACCUUGUUUGGUGCAAUUUUUAGCCAAUGUAUAACUAAUGCAAGCAUUAGUUAUACAUUCUAUUGUGUAUUAAGUUGUGUAUUACUAAUACCACUCAUUUUCUAUGUAUUAGUAAUGCAAAAUCUUUAAUACAUGCAUUAACUUAUUAAAUGACCUUAAUACCCCUUAAUUUCCCUCUUAAAAUAUUUCACAAUUACUUUUUCCGUCAUUUUAAUUUGAAUCUUUUCAAAAUAUUUCACAAUUUUUUUCCCACAAUUUUAAUCUACAACAAUGAAUAAUUGAUUUAAAUAAUUGUAACAUAUUUUUGCUUUGCUUUGAGGGUCUUUAAAAAGAUUAAAAAAAAAUUGAGACUAUUUCUUAAUUUUACGUCUUAUAUUUUAUUUUUGUUUCAACUAUGUUAAUCUGUUGGCAUAAUAUUUCAUGCGCAAAGACGAAGGUUUUACAAUUAAUCUGAAACCUCUAUAUACUAGUUCAACAAUACUAAUUAUAUUUGAGAUGACAAAAAACAUUUGUUGCAAAAAAGUGUACAAAAUCAAAGAAGGGUAUUUUUGUAAACAAACAUUUCUUUUAUAGAAAUUAUGUAAGAUGUAUUAUUUCUUAUAAUAAAUAAAACAUACAUAACUAAUACAAGAAUAAGUAAUACAAGCAUUACUAAUGCAAGUAUUACUAAUACACUAUAUUUUGCAUUGAUCUUAUAAUACUCUACCAAACGACCCAAGCUUUUGCGCUCGUUAUACGCAGAAUUAAAGAAAAGGCCAAACCACAAGAAUGCGUCAACAUGUUAUGAUAAUAAAUGAUUCAUGACUAUGAAACCACCCAAACUUGGAAAUCAACAUUAAUCCUCAUCAUGGAGAAACAAAGAGGAAAAAGAGAAUAUUGAAAAGUCACUCUAAUAUACUAUCAACGCAAAUUAUACAAGAGGAAGGAAUAUAUGUCACACAUGACGCAUAAUAACAUAGGAGUAUUAAUUAUUGUAUGAUUCUAAAAAAAAAAACAAAAAGGGUGUUACCAAUAAAAAACCAUCACCAGUGCGUUUGUUUGGCUGGAAAUUAACGAAAUAUAUCUUUAAUCUAUUUUGCUUAACUAGUAAAUAAGACUAUAUUUUCCAUAAACAUCUAAACCCAAAUUGUAAGCCUUUCGAAACAUUAUCUAAUAUAAAAUCUUUGUUAUGUGUGUCACAUGAUUAACUUAACAUAACCGAAGUAGGACAUACGUUUUUCCACCACCUACUAGGUAGAAUAAAUUUUUAAUCCCAAGAAAGAAACAGUAGGAGAUCAUAGUUUUGUUACAAACUAAGGCUUCAAUUUUCAUAAACACUUCUUGUUAUACUAAUUACUUUUCCUUAAUACUUAUCUAUAUCUGUACUAUUAAUUUAUAUCUUUACUAUUAAUAAAAACUGAAAUUAUUUUUAUGAUUCUUUUAGUCUCUUUGUCCCUCAACACUCUCUCCUCAAUACCAGAGGUGUCCCCAAGGUUCAUUACUAACAUCAGUAGUACUACACAACUGGCUAAUUAUUUUUACUAGUGAAUUCCACCUUCCUACUAAUUUCUCAUAUUGUAUCUUAAAAUUCAGCUUUAAAGCUACUCAAAAAUUUGAUUCACUUUUAAUAAUCAUCUUUAGCGUAAAACAAUUUAUACUUUAAAUGAUCUGGCACAUCAAAUACUACGACAACAACAACACCCAGGGAUGUGGCUUAGUGGUCAAUGAAGUGGGUUGGGAACCUGAGAUUUCAGGUUCAAAUUCCAGAGGCAAAAAACACUUUCAUCCCCUUUGUUCUAGCCUGGGCAAGGCUAAAAUCAAAGAACAUACCAAAAAAAGUAUUCAGUCAAAGUCGAACCAUGAAAUGGUCCAAAAUGAGUUUGAUCUGAUCAUUCAUAUAGCCAAAAAUGGAAGGUCUACACCUUACAUUGUGUGUGUGAGUUACAAUUAGUUUACAGAGGAUAUUCCUAUAAUCUGGAUAGAAAUAUCCAAAUGAAGACUAUUCUCAAUUGCCAGCAUAGUUAUUCUGUCAGGCAAAGAACAAAACUCCUGUUAAAAUUUUCUUCAAUAUCCAAUGGGGGGUAUUCAAUUAAGUGUUUUUUUUUUUUGACAAGUAAAAAUCAGGUGUAUGAUUCAAACAAUCAUAUCACCAAUGAGACUAAUAAAUCUAAUUCAUUUUCAUCACCAUCACCGUUGUCCUUGCCCAUCAGCUGUUUUAACCUCGAAUGGGGAGAAACCUUCCCAGAUUAUACACUACCUAAGAGAGAUCUAGACUCUUUUUCAUGGAUUCAUAAACAAGAUAAGUAAUGCUUGCUGCUGGCACUACUUUCAGAAGAUUCGGAAAGAGUCCUUUGUAAAAGCCCCGGCGACCUUCAUCAUUAAGUGUUCUUCGGAUCACAUCAGACAUUCCAUUGUAAGCAGCAUUAGUAUUUGUAGGUUGAGCUUGCAUUCUGGUAGGAAUUAAAAUUGAGUAUGAAAAGAAAUACAAGUUGCAUCGUAAAGCAUAAAUAGUCUAUCCAAAUCCUAAAAUCAAGCCCAGUCAAACAUGAAGAUUUACCUCGUUCUUAUGACCUGCAAAGGAUAAACACAUGUUGCUCCAAGAGCUCCAGAAAUUGUUCCACAACCGAGUUGCACAAGAGGGCCAGGUUCUGUUUAUCAAACACAAUUGUUAGAAAUAUGCUAAUGUCACUUCGUCGGAGAUAAGUUAGUUGCAGUUGAAGGUUUACAAGCUAUACCACUAUCAUGAAGAAUAUAUAUCCUGGACAAAUCCUUCAACGUUUCAUAGGCAGCCAAAUCAAUGCCUGCAUAAGGUAUAAUUCCAAGAAGAGAUGGUACCAGCCCUUUAUAAAAGGCCCGAGGCCCCUCCUUAAUCCAUAUUUCUUUUGAUAGUUUUCCCAGGCUGGGAACCUUUCCACCUUCACUUACAUGAGUUUGUAACCGGGUCUUAACAAGAUCCAUGGGAUAGAUAGCAGUCUGUGCUACUGCACCAGCCAUGCCCCCAGCCACAAGACGUCCAGAAGCUCCAAUGUCACCCUGUUCCUCGCCUUUGGUACGAGCAAUGACAUUCUUCAACAUUUCGUACGAGUAAAACUUGAUUGCACUUUCAGGUGCAACCUUCAUCACAUUUAGUCCAUUGCCCCUAAAAAACCUCAAUAUACCACCAUCCUUCCAUAUUUCUCGGACAGUAGAACCAAGAGAGACACGAGCAGUCUGAACUUGUAAAAUCACCUUUAGCAGAUCAAGGGGAGCUGUGACGGUACGAGAAGUAGCUCCUGCAACUCCCCCAGCAAUCAAAUAUUUAGCUGCAUGAACAUGCUUACUGAUGCCUUCGGGUAUGACAGUCUGUUCACCAAUAUCUACAAGACAUACCCUCUCCCAGUACCGGUAAAUAUUCUCCAAGGUGGCCUCAUGUGGAUAAAGUAGAAGAAAAUUCCUCCAUUCUUCGAAAGUGAUAAUCCCGUUAUUAUCCUUAUCAACAUGUUCCACAAAACGUGCAAGUUCAUCAUCAUCUAUUUCUAUCCCUGUAAAAAAAGGAAACUGCCUUCGCUUAUAAGAGGAAGAAAGGAAGACAAAUAAUGAAAUGAAAUGAGAAUGGGGAACACUGAAUGGCCCAGAAACAUAUAUCCAGACGAGAGUUUAGCACUAUGACAGAAAGGAAACCUCAAGCACUCGAGCAAUACAUCCCUUUGGAAAAGCAUUUCAUCUCAAUGCUCUGAAUCAAAGCACAGAAACCUACAAAGUUCUAAGAUAUACAAAGACUCAUAUUCCUGACGUACAUAUUUACAUGCACGGAUUGCACAUGCAUACGUACAUAUACUCUUCCUUUUUGUUUGACUAGGAAAAGGGAUCAUUAUACAUCUCCACGUGCUUUCUAGUCAUGUCUAAAUAUAGAAAUUAAUGAAUUAAUGCAUAGAGAAAAAUGAUAGGAGCUUAAAUAAGGAAAAGAUCUAAAUGCAAAACCAAAGAUACGUAAUAGUAUCGGUCAACUAAUGCAAAUUGUAACAAAGUCACCACCCACCAAUAGUAUAGAAAGGUCAUCAAUCAUCGAAUCAGCAACAAUCCUUAUGUUUUCUUGAAAACCGGUGUUACUUUUUAUACAAGAAUAAUGAACACAAACAAAUCAAUAAAGACGCAGUGACAUCAGAAUAUGAUGUAAUAUCAUCCGAGGCAAGAUGACACCACACCUACUUGAUACAUAAAAGGAGCUAUUAAACCUCUCACACAGCAUUCACCCACUCUUUUUCUUUUUUUAUACCUGCCUACUAAAUGGAAAUCUAGAAUUAACUACUCAUCCUGUGGUGUAAAGGAUAAAAGUUUGGCUUAGUACAGAAGGAAAUGGAUCCCAAGAAACAGAAAAUCAGGGCUUCCAGUCAAACAAAAUUAGCAACCGAAGAUGAAGAUUGUGCAAUUUCAGCUAAUGAAUUGAAGCUAUAUAAUCAUUCUAUAGUUAAUGAACUGAAGCUCAUGCAUAAAGCUAAGCUUGUCACCAGGCCCUGUAAGGUUCCUACAUGGCAAUUCUAAAAGACAACCAGAAAAGUGACUUUGUUGCAUCAAAGAAUCAUGUAACCAACAAACUAGAGCAUAUCAUAUCCCAGGUAAUUAGUAUCCGAAAAAUGAGGAGCAUGACAUCCUUUUGGAAAAGGAGGCAGUUGAAAGAGCAAUGAAGAACUAUCAAGGAUAACACAUCAGGGACAGAUAGUGACUCGCCACACUUUCUCCCAACAAGGCCGGAAAGUGGUUGGAGCUGGGAAGUGAUGUCACGGAAUGCAUGAACCAUUUUCAUUAAUACAACUAAGUUGAUAUUGACUAAGAAGCAUGGGAGGACUUGAAUUAUUUUCCUAAUAGAUAUUAGUUCUGCAGCACAGUUAUACUUAUGAUCCAUAAUAUACCAUAUGUAAAUGGUGGAAGCGAUUGCAAGUUAGAUGGCAAGCAAGUUGGAUGCUAGAAGAACAUGCUAUGGAAGACAACUAUUAGUAUAAUUUGUCUUUAAGAAGAGAGGAAUAAGUUGAAAAUCCGAGAAUUAAAAAUUCUCUUCCGUUUCAUUGAUUGUUUUUCUUCUGCAAGGACAAUACACCUUUUUGUAUAGGUAGCUGGCUAGCUAUUUGGACACUUAACUAUUGACCCAACAGUUUAUAGGAAUUUGUAAUAUUGACAUCAUCAUGUCGUAUUUUCUUUAUAAGCCAAGACACACACAUACGCACAUCAUCAUCUUCUUCUGUAAGGACAAUACACCUUUUUGUAUGGGUAGCUGUGGCUAGAUAUUUGGACACUUAACUAUUGACCCAACAAUUUAUAGGAAUUUGUAAUAUUAACAUCAUCAUGGCGUAUUUUCUUCAUAAGACAAGAUACACACAUACGCACAUCAUCAUCAACAUCAUCUUCACGAUACCAAUGAAAUACAAUUGACCUCACAAAACAAAAGUGUCUCACCAGUUAUGAGAUCUCAACGAUGGAAAUUCUUAACAGAUAAAUGUAAUAUCUAUCGCACGAUAGCUAAAGGUAAUUCUACAUUCACAUAUUACCUACAUUCACACCAAUGCAGCAGUACUAGUAAACAAGGCAGUAACUUUAUCAAUUAUGACUACACACCAAACAAGAAAUUAAAGAGCAACAACAACAUACCCAGUAUAAUCCUACAAAGUGGGGUCAUGGGAGGGUAAAAUGUACGGAGACCUUACCCCUACCUUCCCAUAGACUGUGAUUCGACGGGAAAAUAGUCCAAAGCAGUACAAAAAGGAAAGUAAAGGAAGCACAAGAACUCAAAAAAUCGAGUCAGCAAAACAGUACAUACCAGCUUUUACAAGUGCAUCCCAAAGUUCCUCAGGCAAGAUACACCCAUUAUGCUCAACAUCAAUAGACUGAAAAAUCCUAUACAACUCCAGCUCUUUAUCAUCCAUAUAUUUUCUAAACUCCGAAUAAUCCACCCUCCCAUCCUUAUUUCCAUCACACUCCGCCAACAAUUCCCUAGCAAACUUAUAAUCCACUGGAAUUUGCAUAGCAAACAACCCCUUUUCAAUUUUCACAUGAUCCAAGUAACCCACAUUGUCGGAAUCAAAAAAACUGAACAAACUCCUAAUUCUUAAAUCCCUUUCUUCCUUAGUCUCCCUUAAUGCUGAUAAUACGUGGUCCAUUGAAACCGGGCCGGUCUUCUUCACCGGAUUACAGCAACCGGGUCGGUUCUUAGUCGCCGCCAUUACCGGGUUAUUCACAUGCUUCGCUGCUGCUCCAGCCAUAAAUAAAAAUAAUGAAUUUUCUUUUCUUCAACACAUGGAAUUUUAAACAAAUUCAGAUCUACAAAAGAAACAAACGCAACAGUAAACGAAUUAGUUCCUGCUAUUGGAAAAAAAAAAAAAAGAGAGAGAAUAUUUUGUGAAGGAUCAAAGAAGAUCCGAGGAAUAGACCCGUAUAAUAUACGGGUUUUCUUACUUGUUCACGGGUCAAAAAAAGGAACAGUUGAAAGUCUACGGAAGUUGAAAAAAAAAAAAACUGAUUAGUUUAUUGUAUACUGUUUGACAACACUUUUAAACAAAAAAGAAAACGUCAAUGGCCGGUUUUAGGCACAUAUGGACACAGACAAAAAUGACCGAUGAGAGUGUAGAUGGCGGUGGUGAGUCGGUGAAGAUGAAGGUGUGGUUUAUAACUGGUGAAAGUGUAAUUCAGUGUGUGUGUGUGUGUGAAUUUUUUUUGGCAAUGGUGUGGGAAGGAGGAUUGGAGGAAUGGUCAAUUUAUAUGGAAUAGGAAUAUAAUUCCAAUGGUAUCGAGUAAGAGACUAUUUGUACACAUGUUUUUUGUCUGUAUUUAUUUAUUUACUAUAAAAGUUUUGAUUGAGCGGAUGAAUACAUGAUAAUAAUAAAAAAUGUUUAAUUUUAGAAAAGUUUUUGUUUAUAUUAUUUUGGAUAGAUCGAUUUUAGUAUUAUUGAGCGAAUGAAUAUAUGAUAAUGAUAAAGUUCUUUAACUUUUGAAAAGUUUUCGUUUAUGUUGUUUCGGAUAGAUGAUUGUAGUACUAUUGAACGGAUGAAUACAUGAUAAAGUUUUUCAAUUUUAGAAAAGUUUUUGUUUAUAUUGUUUUGAAUAGAUGAUUAUAGUAUUAUUGAGCGGAUGAAUAUAUGAUAAAAAAAAAUUAAUUUUAGAAAAAAAAAUUAUUUAUGUUGUUUUGGAUAGAUGAUUGUAGUAUUGUUGAGUUGAUGAAUACAUGAUAAAGUUUUUCAAUUUUAGAAAAAUUUUGUUUGUGUUUGUUUGGAUAGAUGAUUGUAGCAUAACUUAGCGGAUGAAUGCAUGAUAAAGCUCUUCAAUUUUAGAAAAGUUUUUGUUUAUAUUGUUUCAGAUAGAUAGUUGAUUGUAGUAUUUUUGAACGGGUGAAUAUACAUGAUAAAAUUCUUCAAUUUUAAUUUUUUUUUCGGUUUAUAUUGCUUUGGAUAAGAUCGGUUGUAGUAUUGUUUUAUGGUAAUUUUGUUUUGUUACGAACCGUUGUUUUCUGUAUUUCUAUUACGACAAUUAAUGUAUUGAGCUCGAGCUCUAUCUGAAACAGAUAGUUGCAUACACUCUAUCCUUCUCAGACUUUGCUUUAUGAGUAUACAUAUUAUGCUGUUGAGGUGUUGUACUUUAAAAAAAAAUUAUGUGUUGUCGAGUAUUCAUUGCAUGCAUAUUAAUCAGGUAAAAUAUGUCACGUAUUUUAAUAUAAAUAUUAGGUUUCAUGUCUUAAUUUUACAACUUAUUGAGGUUGUGUGUUAAAUAAAAUGACAUAUUUGAAUUGAUUAGUUUAUUUACAUAAUAGAUGUUCCAGAAUACACAUGGAUGUUUUUUUAGACUUUUGAGUCAAAAAUGUAUAAUAAAAGCACUUUAUUAUAUGUGUUAAAAUGUCCAAUCAAAAUAUAUUGUAAUUUGAAUAUCUAAAUGAAAUAAUUAAUCUUUAUCCUCCAACUUAAUGUAUGUGAAUAUGAACUCUAGCUAAAUAUUUCGACUAGAAAAAAUAAUGAGAAAAUGGUCAGAUACCUCUCAACCUUUACCCCAAAUCUCAACUACACACUUAUACUUUGAGAGGGUCCUAUAACCCCCAUGAACUAUUUUAAAAUGAAAUUAUUACCCCCGAACUAUUUUUAAGUGGAAUAUAUACCCCUCUAAAAACUCAUACCCAGAUUUUAUUUUGAUUUGUGAUCCACACGCGUUGCCACGUGUCAUGCCAUGUAAUUCCACGUCAUAUAUCAUUUUUUUACUAUAAAAAAUUAAGUCCACAUCAUGCCACGUCAUCAUCAUCAUCAUCUUCUUCUUCCUCUUCUUCUUCUAUUCUUUUUCUUCUUCAAUGUCAUAAUGAAUCAUAUGGAAUUCACAUGAUAUAUAAUCUUAUAAAAAUCAAUAAUUAAUGUCCAAAAAAUAUUCGAUUUUCACAAAAUGACGUCACAAUAGUGAUGCGCCGCGACAGUGAUGGCGCCGAAAAAUUUAAAAUUCCGAUGACUUUAUUUUUCAAUCUGAAUUGAUUCAACAUUCUCACGUAAUUCGAGUUCCUGGAUGUCAUUGAAGAAGAAGAAAAUAAAAAGAAAUGUCAUUGAUGGGUUCUUGGAUACCAUUUAAGAAGAAUUGAAGAAGAAGAAAAAGAAGAAAAGAAAAAUAAUUGUCAUUCUUGAAUGUCAUUGAAGAAGAAGAAGAAUGGAAGAAGAGGAAAUGAAGAAGAAGAAGAAAGAAAAAUAAUUGUCAUUCUUGGAUGUCAUUGAAGAAGAAGAAGAAUGGAAGAAGAGGAAAUGAAGAAGAAGAAGAAAGAAAAAUAAUAAUUAAAAUUAUAUAUAUUUAUUUAAAGAAAUAUUAAAAAUAAUUUUUUAAUAAAAUAUUUUCGUUCUCACUCUCUUUAAAGAGAGUGAAACACACUCUCUUUAAAGAGAGUGAAACACACUCUCUUGCCAUGUCAGCGUUGAAGGGGUAAUAAUUUCAAUUUUAAAAUAGAGUAUAAGUGUGUAGUUGGAAUUUGAGGUAAAAGUUGGGGGAUAUUUGACCGUUUUCUCAAAAAUAAUUUUUAGAAACUUAAAAUAUAUGAUUUGUGCAAUUCAAUGGAGAGUACCUAACGAUAUUGUCUGAUAAAGGAGAUGAAGAAUAUUUUUAGAAAAAAUACAAAAUUAAUUUAUCAUGUGUCUAUUUAGGAAUAUCAGUUAAUCUCAAAUAUGUCACCUAUUUUUUUUAUACAUAUCAGCAUUCAUGUCUUGAUUUUACAUUUUAUUGAGGUUAUGUGUUAAAAGAAAAUGACACAUUUGAAGUAAUUAAUUUAUUUACACAAUAGUUGCUCGAGAAUACAUAUGGAUCCUUUUUUGGACUUUGAGUAAAAUAUAAAUAAAAAUGCUUUAUUAUGUGUUAAAAUGUCCAAUCAAAAUAAAUUGUAAUUUGAAUAUCUAAAUGAAAAUUGAUCUUUAUCCUCCAACUUAAUGUUUGUGAAAAUGAACUCUAGAUAAGUUUUUCACUAGAAAAAUUAAUUUCUAAAAACUUGAAGCAUAUAGUUCGUGUAUCCAAUGCAGAGUACCUAAUGAUGUUGUCUGACAAAGGGCAUAGAGAAUAUUUUUAGAAUAAAAUGGAGAAUUAUUUUAUUCUGUGUCUAUAUAGGAAUAUCAGUUAAUCUCAAGUAUGUCACCUAUUUUAUUAUACAUAUCAGCAUUUUGUGUCUUGAUUUUAUAGCUUAUUGAGGUUAUGUGUUAAAGAAAAUGACAUAGUUGAAGUAAUUAAUUUAUUUACAUAAUAGAUGCUCGAAAAUGUAUGUGGAUCUUUUUAUUUUUACUUUGAGCCAAAAAUGUAAAUAAAAAUACUUUCGUAUGUGUUAAAAUGUGCAGUAAAAAAAGAUCGUAAUUUGAGUGUCUGGAUGAAAAAAAUAUGAUCUGUAUCUUCCAACUUAAUAUUUGUGAAAAUGAACUCUAGCCAAAUUUUUUGCUAGAAAAAUUAAUUUCUAAAAACCUGGAGCAUAUAAUUCGUGUAUCCAAUAUGGAGUACCUAACGGUGUUGUCUGACAAACGGGAUAAAAAUAUUUUUAGAAUAAAAUGAAGAAUUAUUUUAUUUUGUGUCUGUGUAGGAAUAUCAGUUAAUCUCAAGUAUGUCACCUAUUUUAUCAUGCAUAUCGGCAUUUGUGUUUUGAUUUUACAGCUUAUUGAGAUUAUGUGUUAAAGAAAAUGACAUAUUUGAAGUAAUUAAUUUAUUUACAUAAUAGAUGCUCGAAAAUGUAUGUGGAUCUUUUUAUUUUUACUUUGAAUCAAAAAUGUAAAUUAAAAUACUUUAUUAUGUGUUAAAAAUGUCCAAUAAAAACAGAUCGUACUUUGAGUGUCUAGAUGAAAAAAAAAUGAUCUUUAUCCUCCAGAUUAAUGUUUGUGAAAAUGAACUCUAGCCAAGUUUUCUCUAGGAAAAUUAAUUUCUAGAAACUUAAAGCAUAUGAUUCAUGUAAUCCAUUAGGGAGUACCUAACCAUGUUAUUUGACAAUGGGGAUAAAGAAUAUAUUUCGGAUAAAUGUAAAGUUAUUUUAUUUCGUAUCUAUUUAAAAACAUCAGUUAAUCUCAAAUAUGUCACAUAUUUUAUUAUAUUAUCAACAUUCAUGCUUUGAUUUUACAGUUUAUUGACAUUAUGUGUUAAUAAAAUGACAUAUUUGAAGCAACUAAUUUAUUUACAUAAUAAAUGCUCGAUAAUACAUGUGGAUUCUUUUUUUGACUUUGAGUCAAAAAUGUAAAUAAAAAUACUUUAUUAUGUGUUAAAAUACCUAAUCAAAACAAAUCGUAAUUUAAAUACUAAACGAAAAGAUUAUUUUUUAUCCUCCAACUUAAUAUUUGUAAAAUGAACCCUAGCCAAGUUUUCCGCUAGAAAAUUAAUAAGCUAAAUUAUUUUAUCCUAUAUCUAUUUAGGAAUAUUAAUUAACGUUCAAACAUGUCACUUAUUUUACUAUAUAUAUCGGCAUUCAUAUCUUGAUUUCACAGCUUAUUGAGGUUAUGUGUUAAAGAAAAUAGCAUAUUUGAAGUAGUUUAUUUAUUUAUAUAAUAGAUGCUUGAAAAUACAUGUGGAUCCUUUUUUGGACUUUAAGUCAAAAAUGUAAAUAAAAGUACUUUAUUAGUUUUUAAAAUAUCCAAUGAAAACAGAUCGCAAUUUGAAUGUCUAAAUGAAAAUUGAUCUUUAUCCUCCAACUUAAUGUUUGUGAAAAUAAACUCUACCCAAGUUUUUCUAGGAAAAUUAAUUUCUAGAAACUUGAUUUUACAACUCAUUGAGGUUAUGUGUUAAAGAAGCUGACAUAUUUUAAGUAAUUAAUUAAUUUACAUAAUAGAUGUUUGAGAAUAUGCGUUGAUUUUUUUUAGAUUUUGAAUUAAAAAUGUAAAACAAAAAAUCUUUGUUAUGUGUUAAAACGUUCAAUCAAAACAAAUCGUAAUCUGAAUAUCUAAAUGAAAAUUGAUCUUUAUCCUCCGACUUAAUGUUUGUGAAAAUAAACUGUAGCCAAGUUUUCCGUUAGGAAAAUUAAUUUCUAGAAACUUGAAGCUUAUGAUUCGUGUAAUUAUCUAACGGCUUCGUUUGAUAAAGGAGGUAAAGAACAUUUUUAGGAUAAAAUGUAGAAUUAUUUUAUUAUGUGUCUAUUUAAAAAUAUUAGUUAAUCUCGAAUAUGUCACUUUUUUUUAUUAUACAUACCAAUAUUCACACCUUAAUUUUACAGCUUAUUAAGGUUAUGUUUUAAAGAAGACAUAUUUAAAGUAAUUAUUUUAUUUACAUAAUAGAUGCUCAAGAAUACACGUGGAUCCUUUUUUGAACUCUAAAUUAAAAUAUAUAUUAAAAACACUUUAUCAUGUGUUAAAGUGUUCAAUCAAAACAAAUCGUAUUUUGAACGUUUAAAUGAAAAUUAAUCUUUAUCCUCAGAUUUAAUAUUUUUGAAAACAACUCUAAUCAUGUUUUAUACCAAAAUUAAUCUUAAAAAGUUAAAGCAUGUGAUUUGUGUAAUUCAAUGGGGAGUACCUAAAUGUGUUGUUUGAGCUAAGGGAUUAGGAAUAUUUUUAGAAUAAAAUCUAAAAUUAUUUUAUUCUAUAUCUAUUUUAAAAUAUUAGUCAAUCUCAAAAUUAUAUAUUUCAACAUUGGUGUUAUAAUAAUAAUGAAAAAAGUAAUAUAUAUAUAUNNNNNNNNNNNNNNNNNNNNNNNNNNNNNNNNNNNNNNNNNNNNNNNNNNNNNNNNNNNNNNNNNNNNNNNNNNNNNNNNNNNNNNNNNNNNNNNNNNNNNNNNNNNNNNNNNNNUAUAUAUGGUGAUAUAAUUAAUGUUCCAUUAAAUACCAUAACUUUGUCAACAACGUGCAACUUGUUGCUCCAACUCCCUUGAGAAAAAAAAAUGGUGUAAUGGUUCCUCUGUCUCAAAAUAAUUGACAUGUAUAAAUUUUACAUAAUUUUUGAGGAAAAAUUAAGAAUAGCUGUAAUUUGACUAGUAUGAUGUUAUUUUAUUUAAUCUUUGAUUAUCUAAAUUUUCUUCAAUUAGUAUGAGAAUAGUCUUUAUUACUAAGAUUAGAAUUGAAAAAUUAAUUAAUUAAUUCUUGAUCUUUUAAAUAUAUCAACUAUAUUGAGAUUAUUUUUUUUUGACAAACAUGCAGUUACUUUGAGACGGAGAAAGUACCAAACGUUGCUUUGAAGUUAGUACCAUGCAGGUAUGGGGGAGUUGGUUCAUCCAAAUUCCCAACUGCCAAAUACACCUUCUAGAUAAGUGAUCAAAAGCAAAUGCUAAGGGAGUUGUUUCCAAGAUAUAAAAAAAUAAUAUUAUUUAUAUCUAAUUGAAAUUAUCUUUUAUAUAUAUAUAUAUAAAUAGCUGUUGAGUCUUCUUUAAUUUUUUUCAUGUCUUUUACUCCUUCACAUUCUAAAAUUUUUAUUGAAAAUACUAAAUUCAUCAUUAAUUAGAAGGCUCGAUAGGAAAAAUCAAGAUUAAAGUGCAGCAAGUAUAAAGUUAGAAUGCAGCAUCUCCCAUGUUACCAAGUGAUGAGGUAAAAUGGUUCCUCGAGAUAUGAUGGUAAUUUGUAGUUAGUCUAAUCUACCCCCAAACAGAUCAAUUCAAAAUGGAUCUUAUUUUCCAAAAAAGAGGAGGAAAAUGCUUACGCAAAUUAAAAAGAAAAUAAAAACACCGUCAAUGUCUUAAUUCUUGUUUUAUUCCUUUGCCCAUUUCUGUUUGACACGCAAAUUGAAUUUCCAUAUUCUACAUGAUACUUUAAGAUGCAACAAAAACGUGGCUGCAAUUAUUUAUUCUGCCCCAUUUUGUACCCUAUAGGAUCGUUUAAUACGCGAGAUAAGAUGUAAUAUUUCAAGAUCAAAAUCUUUUUCAUUAAGAUAUUUAUAUCCAAAGCAGUACGUAUCUACAUGCUUAUAAAAGUACAACCUAAUGCACAAUGCAUUUCACCAUCAUCAAAGGUAUACAAAAGAGCCGCAUUCGUAAGAGGUGUGAUGUAAGACAACAUAUUCCACUGCUAGUAUUAGUGAUUAUUUCUACGGCUUGAACAGGUCACGAGGAGACAAGUUCACGUAUUCAUAAGCUUGUAUAAAAUUGAAACGUAACGAGAACGCUAUGUAUGUAUAAUACUGUUUAUUAAACCCAUUACAGAGGUCAAAAGCAAGCUUGCCUACAAUCUGCUUAAAUAAAACAACUAUAAUAAGUACAAAUAAAUUGCUCUUCAUCAAUAUCUGCCACUGCCACUGUUACUUGAUCAAGACACCUCGGGCAAAAUACCAUUAAAAAAAAUACAAAACUAGGCAGUCAAAUUUUAACUAUUUCUACUUAUAUCAAUUUGGUGCGUUUCAAUUAAAGAAAAUGCAGAUUAUCUUGAAUCCGAACUCCAUCACAAUCUUGUUUUUGUAAAAAAACAAAAAUAAAUCGAGCAGAUUCUGGGAAUCGUUAUACACUUGUCAGUUUAAAAGUUAAUCUCGCGCCUCUCAGCGAAAAACUUACCACUCACAAACUUUUCAGGGAGCAAAGCAAGCCAGACACCAGUAUCAGCAGCUUCUUCUGGUGAAACAUGGCCAGCCCAGCCAGUCAUAGCAGUUUUCACCCAACCAGGGCAAUAGCAAUUUAUAUAUAUCUUAUGAUCUUCUGGCCGGUCCUCGAAUAUCCUCGCCAUUAACCUGGUGUAUGCAUUAACUGCUAGCUUUGACAAUGAGUAGUCUGUUUGCACAUGAGGCCAUCCACCUGAUUCCCAAGUUCCAUCUUUUACUUGUUCCAAGAAUGUGUUCAUAGUUUUAUCGAUGACUUCCUCGGAUAGCGAAUCCACAUCUCCCAACUGUUGUCUCACUGUGACAUUUGAUAUCCCCUGGUAGCAUCAAACAAAGAUAGUAGAUCAUAUUCAGAUGGUAAAUAAGCUCAUUCUCUCUCAUAUUAAUAACCAUAUGAAGUGGCUUUCAACAGAAGAACAUAAGUACCAUCAUAUACACAAAACAUAAUUAGUCCUACAUCUAGCUGUCAUGCUAGCACACACUACAUACAAUAUGGUACCAGAAAGACAAAAAAUAUCCCAAGUUUACAGUAUAUAUUUUAUUGUCACAGCCCAUGAAAAGAAUGAAUCAGGCCCUGAACGCGAGGAUAUGUGUAGAGGCAUUAUAAUAUAAUCAAGCAAUUAAAAAGGUGUUCUCCGUAACAGUUUAAGCUUCUGAUGAGUCGAUCACACAUGUUUUUUUGUGACAGCAGUGUUAUAAUGAAAAAUCGCCUUAAAUAGGAACGACUACUCUGAGAAAGCUUGAUGAAUUGCUGAAAGAGCGAGCUGGAUGAACAACGAUCCAAUAAUGAUGACAAGAGAAGAGAAUGAAACAACAGAUUCUUACUUACAUGUCGUUUGCCAUUAAGUCUACCCAAUCGCGAGGUCACACUAACAAUACGAGCACCAGCAGCAGAAGGCCUCAUUAACGGAAUCAAUGCUUUGAUCAUAUUUUUUGUGCCAAAGUAGUUAACUUGGAUUACCAUUUCAGCAAAUUCAACAGAAUUAUCUUUGCCUAAAUUGAAAUUGACUCCUGCAUUGUUGAUCUACAAAGCCCCAUACCAGUAUAUCAAUAAUAACAAAACACAAAUUGGCAAUCGCAUUAAUGAAUGAAUUUAUUAGUACCAGUAUAUCAAGGCCACCAUAUGUUUCUUUAAUCCAAUCACAAAAUGCCUGGAUUGAUGCAGGAUCCACAAUAUCCAAUUGAUGAAAUGCCACAUUUAGACCUCCUUCUUGCAAGACUUUCACUGCUUCUUCCCCAACAGCUGUCUCUCGCGACGUAAGAACAACAGUAACCCCAUGCAAUGCAAGUUGAUGAGCAAUCUCAAAUCCAAUCCCUCUAUUUGCACCCGUCACCACAGCAAUAGUUUCAGAUGACCACCAUCUAUAAAUCAUGCAAAAACGCCAUCAGCAUUAUGCAUAAAAAUAAAUAAUAAACCAGGGGGAAAUAAUUCACAUGGAAAUGUUGCCAAAUAUAACCAUCCAUUAGGAAUCUAGAAGUUCAACUGAAAUCAUUGUUUUUGAUUCAUUUAUACACACAUAUGCUAAUAACCUUUUUAAUGUACUAUACAUACAAUUCUGAAUUCACUUACUCGAAAUCUUGGAUUUACCUUUGCUCAAGAAGCUAAAACGUAGAUGCAAGAAACAACCUCAUGCAUGGUAACGCGGCGAAUUUAAAGAAGAAGUGAUAGCUAUAGAAAUUUUAAAAAUAAAAAUAAAAGAGACCUUUGGUGAUCAGAAUAAGGAAUAGUACGAAGAAGGGAGAUCUCUUGGCGUCUUUUCUCCUUUUUUUCCUUUGCCCUUUCCUUUUUAUCCAUUAUUACUAUUAUUAAUUAAUUAAUUCAAUCCUUAAUUUGGGUUUGGUUGUAAAAUUGAUAAGAGAGAAAGAGAGCUUGGAGAAAGAGAUGUAACAGAAACACCCAAAAUUCUUCCGAUAUAACUGGAGCAAUCCUCCAGCGUUCGUUAUAUUUCAACUACCUUCUUUGGUCCAAAUUAAAAAACAACUAUAUAAAUUUCAACAAUUGAAUAGAGUAUUAUAUUAACAUAUUCUUAUAGUAGUAGAACAGGUGCAAUUAUUGAAAGACGUUAAUUUCUCCACAAUCACAUUCAAAAUUCAAAUUUCAUCAAAAUAAUCGACAAUUAAACAUCUAUCGGUGUUAUCAUAUUCAAAUGAUAUUUUUGUAUUAAAAUAAAAAGCUUUUUAACUAAUUUGCAAAACUUUAGUUGGAGCGACUCAAGAAGUAUUUCCUUCGUUACUUUUGCAUUAUCUAUUUUGUCCUUUUCUCCCCAAAUGGUUGUAAUUUUAAAUUUCCUUCAAAUGAAAAAAAUCUUAAUAGCUCAAUUGACUUGCUAUGUAAACUUUUUUCUCGUUAAAAAUAUUUAGACAUAAUAUAUAAAUAACUUUUAACUUAAUUGUAGCUUAUAUAUACAUGCCUUCAAUUUUGGGUGUGCACAAAUAGACACUCAAAUUCAUAUAAAGUUGAUCAAGUAAAUAUAUGCAUCAUAUGCAUAAUUUAAGUUGAUCAAGUAAAUAUAUGCAUCAUAUGCAAACAUGUAUUACGCCACAUAGAACAUGUGUUUCUAAUCAACUUUAUACAGAUUUAAGUAUCUAUUUGUACAUCAAAAUUAAAUGCAUAGAUAUUAGGUGACAUGGGCGGAUCUACAUUCAAUUCAGGGGUUCGUCCGAACCCCUUUUGUCGGAAAAUUACAUAGAUGCAGGAUUAAAAUUUUAAUUUACGGUAUAUAUGUUAAGUACUGAACCCCCUUGACACAAGGCUAAAGCUUGGUUAAAUGGUGAAGGGGUGCAAAAUUUCUGAAUCCAUAUGGGCUCAAGUCUGAAAACAUCGGUCUUUUCAAUCUUUUAUAUUAGUUUUUGAAUUAAAUCUCUAGUUACUUUUUUGCUCUCUUACGUUUGUUCCCUUUUAUUUUCUCUUUCUCUCUCACUUGUUAUUUCACCUUUUGUUUUCUCUUCUCUCACUUUCAUGGUUACUAAUUUGAUAGUUGACUUUUUUUUUUAUUUUUUCACAAAAUUGUACAGUUUACAUCUUUUCUCCUUAAAAUUAAGGAAGAAUUAGUAUUAAUUUUAUCAUGUUAAUGUAUAAACAACUUAAAUGUAAAGACCAAUUCUGGUAACUUAUUAUACUUUUAUGUAGUUUCUAAAUAUGUAAAUUAUUUUUAAAAAGUUUAAAGAUUGUAUGUUUGAACGCACGAUCAAAAUAAAGAAGUUUAACUUUCCCGUUUUAUUGUUCAUAUUGAGGUAGAGUUGAACUUUGUUAGCUCGUUCAAAUCAAAUCCGACCCGCUUAUUUUUAAGGUUGUGUUAACGUGCUUAGUUAUUUUUUUGAACCCUUUAAUAGAAAUUCUGGCUCUGCCACUGUUAAGUGUGAUCAAGUUAAAUGUCAUAUUACUCCCUGUGUCUCAUAUUACUUGAUAUGUUUGUCAAAAAUACUUUAGCUCAAAAUAAUUUGACAUGUUUAAAGAAUCAAGAGAUAAUAGAUACAUUUUUUCAAUUUUAUUCUAAGUACUUUAACGAAAAUAAUUAACUCUAUAAUGACAAUAUGUAAUGUGAAUUUAAUAGAAUCAUGUUAGUCAAUUUACCCUCCUUAUUAAUUUAUUUUUAAAAAUUAUGUAAAAAAAUAAAUAUAUCAACUUAUAUAAAAUGAAGAUAAUAUUUAUUAUGCCAAAAUUUUAAUUUUCCACCUUAUAAUCUUCUCCAAAAUUUCUCCUCUUAGCCCCAAUUUAUUUUGUUAUUUUUAUUUUGAAAAGGGAACAGUUCGGGUUGAAUAAAUACCCGAAUACAACAGUAUUCACAGGCGGGGCGGGUGGGGUAUAGUGAAUCACAAGAGGCCACGCCUAAAUUCACCUUCAACUUUGCUGUUAAACCCUAAUCGUAAAUCAAAUUUCAACUUCCCAUUGAUCCUCAAAUAGCUUCAUUUUAGAGAAACAAAAAUGGCGAAUUUACGAAGGGCACUUGUCUUCACAAUUCCUAGAAUCCUCAAUUCCUCCAACAGGACAUCUGUUACAACCUCCACACUCCAUUCUCACAAUCUCUACAGGUUGAAAAAAAUAAAAUAAUCUGACCUUGUAUUAGCUGUUUUAAUAUUGUUUUUAUGUGUUGUGUUAUUUUUUCAAAAUAUGUUAACUGCUAUUGUUAUGCUCCUUUUAGGCCUUUUGCUGGAACAUUUUCGCGUUUUCUUUCUUCAAAUGAGGCUUCCUCGCUGAAUAAUAUUGAUCUUUCCGAUGAAGAGAGCAAACGACGUUUAUUUAACAGGUGACUUUUGAAGUUUUUACUAUUUGUAUCCAAAAUUUUUACAAAGGGGUCGUUUGGUAGCUGGUUAGAGUUAUACGUAUGUACUUUUAGAUGCGGGUUUCUAAAUUGCAAAUCAAACACCUAUUAAUAUGUUAUACAUGAAUAAUUUAUCUCCUAACCCAGCUACCAAAUGUGGUAUCUCUUAUUGAUAAUUUAAUACGUGCAUAAGUCAUCUCCAAACCAGUUGCCAAACAACCCCUAAGGGGUUCGAAGGAUUUGAACUUGGAACCUCAAGGUGAAUUUUGAACCCCUAAACUACUCAACGAACCUCUAAUUUUGAGUGUGUGUGGGGGGGGGGGGGGGAUUCAAAAUCUAUACAGGUACAUAAAAAAUAAAAAAAUCACCUUAUAUAUACAGGGUAAUUUUUUGCCUAGGGAUUCGAGGGAACACCUCUCCCUGGGUGGGUUAUACGGUUCACCGGCGGGUUCAUGGUAUCUUAUUGGUGUAUUUUUUUUUUUUGUUGUUGUUGUAUGGAUGCAGACUUAUUUAUCGUAGUAAACAAAGAGGGUACCUGGAGCUAGACCUUGUUCUUGGAAAAUGGGUGGAGGAACACAUACAAUCCAUGGACGAAAAUGGAAUUAAGUCCCUUGUUCAUGUCCUUGACCUGGUAACAUUCUUUGUUCUUUUUCAUUAUAGUAGUCCUCUUUGCUCUUUCUCAUUUUUCUUUGGGUUUUAUUAUUUUGAUUGUCAAUAAUUAGAGCUCAUCAUUUUUGCCGCUCUAGUCAAUUAAAAGGAUCUUUUUCUUUGUUGGUUUAGAAGGUAUGAGUAUUCAAUGUGAACAAUAUAGAAGUUUCUGUUUGAGGUUCUAAUUGUUUGCCAUUUUAAUCACCAGAAGUCUGCUACGUACUGAGUAACCCUGCCCACCAAGGCAUAGGUAGAUGAGAUGAAUCACCUAGCAUAUUGUGUCUCUGCUAGGAGUUAGAACUUCUUCCUACAUGAUUUCAACUCACUUAAUUGACCAUGCUUGUCAGUGGUGGUUGUUGUCAUCAAUGAAAAGGAACACAAUUUAUGUUAAGUUAUCCACCAAUAGAUCCUCAAUAACUUCACACAGUCGCAAAGCAAGUACUAUGCACAAGGAGAUUGAGGGAAACACUACGUGUUACGUUCAGAAUUUGAACUGCUGAACUGGAGCAAUGUUUGAAUCCUUUUGAAACUACAAAAGAGCAUCCUUUUCUGUCAUGGGUUUCAACAGUUACGUAACAAAACAAUUCAAUUUUGUCCUAUUUGUGCAGUUUUCCAACAAGGGAUCAAAUCCACCCCUUGCCAACACUUUGCUCAGCCCUUGAUCUGCCAUUGCUGACAUCUUUAGAUAUACAACAACAACAACAAACCCAGUGUAUUCCCACAUAGUGCGGUCUGGGGAGGGUAAGAUGUACACGGUCCAUACCACUACCUCCGGAGAAGUAGAAAGACUGUUUCCGAUAGACCCCCGGUUCAAGACAAGGAAUAAUAAGCAAAUCCAUAAUAAAGCAUGGAACAAACGCCACCCACAAGGAAAAAUAUAAGGAGUAGUAAACAAAUUCAUAAUAAAGCAUGCAACAAGGUGGCAUAACAAGAAUAAUUCACCUACCAAGUAGUGCCCUACCCCAACGACCCAAACUGGCACUAGCCUUUUAUCCUAAUUCGCGUCCUCCAGAUCUUCCUAUCUAGGGCCAUGUCCUCAGUGAGCUGUAACUGCUCCAUGUCCCGCCUGAUCACCUCUCUCCAAUAUUUCUUUGGCCUACCCCUACCCCGCCUGAAACCAUCCAAAGCUAGCCUCUCACACCUACGAACGACAUCUUUAGAUAUAAUUUGGAAAUUAUGUUUAGUAUAUGUGCUUAAGAUAGGGUGCUACAACAGUAAUUGAGUCUGUUCUACUUCUCAAGGAGCUGGAAGGAAUGGCUUUUCCAAGUAGGGGAAAUGGAGGUCAUCACUUUAUUGCGCUUGUGGGAUAUAAAUUGAUUUGAAUUUGUGUCAUUUCCGUUUUUUUCCCUUGGCUAGCUGUAUUAGUUGCUUCCAUUUUACUAAUUUCAUCAAGUUCAAUAUUGGUGAUUUUCCAGGUUGUGUAUCUUUUUUCAUUCCUUGGGGACAACUUAUUCCUUCUCUUUUAACCUUUUUUUUUUUUUUCCAAUUGUGGAAGUGGUGGGGUUGAGUGGAAGAAUGGUCAGCUUGGCUUCAGGGGUUAGGACUUGACAUUUUCUGAGGCCCUUUAGAUCCUUGACUAUUGAGCUAAUUCUUUGGGCUAACAUGGGUUGGUUUGCUUCUUGGUGUCUUUAAUUCUAGUAAAGUACAGCAAGCCCUGCCCUGUAUAAAUUUAUUCUGCCAUGUGCUGUACAUAUACAAAUAUUUCCUAGUGGCAGUGCUAAGAACCAAGGGCCAAUAUUUUAAUUUGACCUGUAACUGAUUCUUGAACUCAUCUAAAUUUACAUUUAAUGGUCUGAGGCCCAAAUUAUGGUUCCUUCAACUGCUGACCAACAUUGAGCUUAAUCUCUUUAAUUGCUAUUACUUACAAAGGCAAGCGUUGCACUUGAUGAGUAUUUUCGUCUUCUGUGUUCCUACUCUGCCCACCUUCCCCAAAUUAAGAGAAAUUAAAGAUAUUAUGCGUAUACCAGGUAGCAUGUCAAUUGGUUAGUAGGACGUAUGAAUUCAGGCUUAAUUUGGGGCCAAGUCAGACUUUAGUUGCCUUUUCACGAGAACUCAGAAACAUGCUUGGAAAAGGAAAAAUAAAUAAAUUACAGGAGUGUAAGAUUAAGGCAUACAAAGGAAAGAAGAGGGUGAAAAGGACAAAGAAACAAGUAGGAAGGUUGGUUAGAGACGAGGUUCAGUUAGUAGUGGGUUAUAACUCAAAGAAAAAAGAAUAUGACCAGAGCGUAAUUAUCUGCGGGUUUCCUUUAUGAUUUGUUUAGUGAUCGUAAAAUAUAUGCACCUCUUUUUUUACUCCAUUAUUGUCAUAAAAUACGAAAGUUCAAAGUUGGUUCAAAUGCCUCUGUUGGCAAUGUUUCCAUUGUAUUCUCUCUGUGAUUCUGUCAAUGAUGGACGUCUGAUCCUCAGCCAUCAGCUAAUAUCUCUCUCAACGCUUCUUGCCUUGCCUCACCCCCUCCCUCAACAAAUGUUUGAAGGAAAAAGAAACACAGGUAAUCUGUUUAGAUGCAGUAAAAUGGUCGUAGCAAGCUAACUCUCCUUUUGUGAAGGUGAACUUGAACUGGCUUACUCUAUAUUUAUUCUAUUUAUACCUGUAGGAGAAUCCGGAUUUGUGGAAGUGGCUGACUGGUCAGGAGCAACCCCCAGAUGCAAUAAAUACAAAUCCUGUGAGCCAUGAACCUUGUAGAAUUGCUAUUUUACCUGAUUGGUUUAUUUGAAUGGUAUAUUUAAUCUGAUAAGUACUUCGUCUGUAGGUGUUUUCUGCUGUGCGUGAAAAGGUUAUGAACAACCUUGACAAACAUGCUUCUCCAGAGACUCGUGCUGUUCCAGGAAAACCUUGGGUGAGAGGGUGGGAUGACAUCAAGAAAGGCCGAGAUGCGCCUAUAGCUGGGAAUCAGUAGUUCUUUUUCUGUCUUGUAUAGGAACUCAUUAUUACUAUGUAUGUGUAAUAAAUAAUUAGAUAUCAGGUCUGUUUGAAUAAAGCUUCAAUAAUGUGAUGAUAGAUGAUGAGUAUUACCCUGGCCUGCACCCAUGUUGUGAUUGCUAUUAUAAAACCUUCGAUGAAGAAGCAUUUCUUUGGUUUACGUUUAACUCGAAGUCCUAAAUGCUGCUACCAUUUUGGUUUGGCACUACUUGUAUGGGUCAUUUACAUAAAUGUCGGAGAUUUAUUGUCUUCUAUUUUAGUAGGGCUUAUUAUCCCCAAAAAAUGGAAGGGAGAUACAUGCAGAUUGAAUAUGCUUCCUGUAUUCGUAUUUGAUGUUGCAGUCUAAACGAUAGUCAAAAUUAUUAAAAUAAAGCAUGAAAAAUUUGUGCGGUAUUGUACUUGAUAUAUACCUAGUAUUUGUUAGAAGUAAUUUAAUAUUUAGAUAAUAAAAACAGAAGAGGAGCCUUGGAUUAAUCGGUAAAGUUGUUGUCAUGUGAUCACGAGUUCAAAGCCUUGAAAACAGUGGUGCAGUUUUUUAUAAAAGCUUUAGUGCAUCAGGUUAUCUUUUUUAUAAUAUAUUCAAUUGAUGUUAUUACUAUGAAUGUGUAUUAAUAAUUAUUAGGACCGCAGGUCUAUUUGAAUAAGGCCUCAAUAACGUGAUGAUAGAUGCUGGGUAUUAGCUGCACCCAUGUUGUUAUUGCUAUUAAUAAUAAAAUAAAAUAUGAAAACUUUGUGUCGUAUUCUUGUACGUGAUGGGUAGCUAGAAGUUAUUUAACAUUUAGACAAUAUAUUCAAUUGUUUUUCGUGGUGCCAUUACCAGAACUUGAAAAGGACAUACAACUGACAUGUUUAAAUUGACGAGGAAAUAAUGUAACUUGAUUCUUUGUGGUGUUUGUUGAUUUGAUAACUUUUCUUACGGAUAAAACGAAAGGGCAAUCCGAUAUACUAAAAUCUUGUUAUGAGCCGCCGAGUUCAAGGAAAAGGGUCAGACUAUAACGGUGUAAAAAUCCAGGCCAGACAUAAUUUUAUUUUCUGGAAGAGUCUUUCCCUUCACCCAAAUUUAUUGCUACCUUAUCUAUCCAUACUCUCUUUAUAGUAGGAGCCAGCCAACAGACGAAUGGCAGUAAGAGAGAGAAAAAAAGAAAAAGAAAAAAUGUUGAUUUCAGGGAAAUCCAUUACAAUUUCCAGUCUCCAUCUUCUUGUCGCGGCGUUUUCCCUGUGGUUGACGUGCAUCACUGCCUCGGAAUCCGGUGACCCAGAACCAACUCCAUGGCCAGAACAAUUCCAUUCAAUUCUCUUCAACAACAACACCAAAGGAAAUCUCCAGAUCACUGAUUUGUGGUACGAUUGGCCUAACGGAAGGAACUUUAACAUAAUACAAAGUCAACUAGGGAAAAAAGAAUACCAUGUGGAAUGGGAUAACCACACAUCUUUUCACUUCACUUUGGAUGCUAACAAGGAGUGCAGAGUCUUGCAUUUCAAUGUGGGAAUACUUAGGCCUAAUUGGUUUGAAGGUGCAAAAUACUUGGGACAGAGAUAUAUGGAUGGAUUUCUCUGCAAUGUUUGGAAUAGAGUUGAUCAUGUUUGGUAUUAUGAAGAUGUUGUUACUAAGAGACCUGUUUUCUGGAUCUUCAUAAAUGGUAAUAUUGCUUUAAUUACAAGCCUUUAGGUUAGCAUAUUUUGGAGCGCCAUUCUCGGUACAAAAUAUAAACAUUGAGGUGAAAUAUUUAUUUUUUAGUUGACUCGGCAAAAUUAAAUGACUUUUUUCGAGGCUUCACUCUCCCCCCUAAUAAGUAACGCCCCAUUAAGCCUGAGCGAAGAUGGGGAUAAAGAGUAAGAAUUAAAGCCCCUUAGCUCUGCCAGGCACCAGACGGAGGUUAGCUCUGUAAAUGUUUAGAGCCAAGUGUGGUGUGGUGUAGUAGUAUGCACUUCUAGGCCCCUUGGGAAUAUUUCUGUCAGCAAUUUCUUUGUUAAAGGCGCCGAUGAGCCCUAAGUUUGAAUUCCAAUUUCUGUCCGGCCCUUCAAGUUAUAAUCCAUUAAAUUUCAGCGGUAGGUGAUUUGCUCGUACUGUCAGUGCGUAUAACUUCUUUUCGAGGACAUUGAACUGGAGUUAUUAACAAAAGAAAUUUGGGUUUGUGCAGGUGCCGGUUCACAUGUAAUGACAUUUGAAGUAGGAAAAGUACUAGAUGAUCCAAAUUGGCAAGCACCUGUUUACUGUUUCAAUGACGCCAACAACAAAGAAGAGAUAUCAUCUCCUCUUAGUUUAGUUACUGAUAAUGAUGUUUCCAUUGGCAGACUCAUGGGAGCAGCAGCUAUGGAUGUUUCUUUGUUGCUCUAAUUGUUGUUACUUUUCCAUGUCCUAUCAAAUAAUGGGCAACAACUUAUCCGUAUUCAUGUAUUGAAGCAAAUAACUAACUAUGAAUUUUAUUUUUACUAAUAAACAUAUUAUAAGUGAAGUUAAAGGUUAUAUGUCUUUUUAAAAUAUUACAACAAAAACAACUCUAAAUUAUUAUAAUAUUAUUUUUAUAUGUAUAUUUAUAUAUUUAAAAUUUCUUAUUUAAAUUUAACUUUAUCCCACUAAUUUUAUUGAAAUGACCUUGUCCUUCCUGAAUUAUUUUCCAAACCUAUUAAAAUGUCUAUAAUUCCCAAACCUAUUAAUAUGGCUUUCUUAUAAUUUAAAUCUUGGAUUAUACCUCCGUCAUUUUUGGUUUGGCCAUGACCUAAAAUUUCUCUUAUUAUUAUUUUUUAUUUUAGCGCCCAUAGUACCAAAAAUACACAUGCAGAUGAGAUUAGCUAUACUUUCUCUGGUCUAAAUGUUGUCAAGAUUAGUAAAAUAAAAGAUGAAAUUUCUGUGUGGUAUUAUACGUAAUAGACGACAGGGGUUUAGUAAAAUAAAGUAUGAAAUUUUUAUGUGGUAUUAUACGUGACAGACAGCUAAAAGUUAUUAGUAGUUUAAUAUUAAAAGAAUAUUUCUAUUAUUUCUUGCGGAAUCAAAAUUUAAAAAGAAGGAUUUCAAUUAGGAGGUCUAUUAUAUGUAGCUUGAGAGUUUAACUUUUUUUAAAGAUAUAGGUAAAAGUCAGGAUUAUUCGAAAAAGAAAAAAUACAAAGACUAACAAAGUUAAAUUUAUAAUUAAACUAAAUAGCAAAAUUUUUUAAAAAAUCAUGUGGGAUAACAAAAUAACAUUAGUUAUUUUUUUUUUCAUUGGUUUUUCUCUCUUCGAUUUCCCAGUCUUUUUUUUUCUUAUUAUUUUUGUGGACGACGGGGCCGGAUGAGAUACCGGUGGAGUUUUGGAAGUUUGUUGGAGAGGCUGGUGUUAGGUGGUUGACUGGAUUGUUUAAUGAAAUCUUCAAGACGGCAAAGAUGCCCGAGGCUUGGAGGUGGAGCACCAUGAUACCUCUUUAUAAGAAUAAGGGGGACAUCCAGAGUUGCAAUAACUAUAGGGGGAUUAAGUUAUUGAGCCACUCUAUGAAGAUCUGAGAGAGAGUGGUCGAGGUGAGGCUGAGACGGAUAGUGUCUAUUUCAGAAAACCAGUUUGGAUUUAUGCCUGGCCGCUCGACGACGGAGGUAAUUCACCUGGUACGGAGGUUGGUGGAACAGUAUAGGGAGAGGAAGAAGGACCUGCACAUGGUGUUUAUCGACCUGGAGAAGGCCUACGACAAAGUCCCCAGGGAGGUGCUUUGGAGAUGCUUAG
rnacentral:lncRNA from 1 species